rnacentral:lncRNA from 1 species
UGGGGAGUGUAUACUACCGCGGGGCCAUUAGGCGCGGUGCAAGCUGGACUACCUGGGGUAGGUCCUGAUAAAUGAAAAGAAAAACUCUAAAUGAGAUUAAGUACUAAAUGAUAGUUGACAGUAAUGAAUGCUUACCUGUUACAAUAGGUGUUUACAUAUUCAUGCUUAUGUUCAUGUUAUAUUCUUUAUUGCAGAGAUUAUGAUUACAUGUUGAAUAUAUGCUCAUCACUUGUUAGCAGUGCAUAUAUACAUAUUAUGCAAGUAUUGCUUUUACUUUCAUUUAGUACAUCAUGAGCCUAGUGGUGUAAUUCGCCGAGGCUGGCGGCUUACCCACUGGGAACUAUUGCUAAUAGUUCUCACGCCCUUUUAUUGUUGUUUUUACAGAGCCAUCUACAGGAGAGGCUAGGGAUCGUGGCAAGGGAGUCGCGUCUAACUAGACAUUGCUAGGGGCAUGCUAGUUAAUCACCUUGCUACUCGGGCUACAGCCGAGGGUGAUGUCCCUAUGUAUAGAGAGACCACCAUUGUACCUACUUGUUGUAUACCCCAUGAUGUAUAUUUACUGUUGGGCCAGAUGUUUCAGUUGGGAUACCUUCUUAGUUGUUGAGAUUUUGGGAUUGUUACUCUUUGUUCUAUUGUUGAUAGUCCUUGUGACUUUUUCUAUGCUCUGAUAUCUGGAUAGGGUUAUUUUAUGUUUUUACUCCUAUCGACUUGUUUCUUGUAGACGCCUUAUAUACUGCAGGUGUAUGGCGGGUCUGUGCACGUACCGGAUAUGCUUCCGCUGAUACCCGGGCGUGACAGAUUAUAGUGGUAUCAGAGCCUAGCGUUGAGUCUUAGUAAACCUAGCAAACCUUAGGCUGGUUGGACUAUAAGAAUAGGCUCGUGAGAGACGAGGUCUAGUGAGGGUAUUGUUAGCGAAAGUAUUUGGAUUGGGUAAUUUAUAAACUCAGAAUGGUAGGAGUUUGAUCGAAAUGUGCAAUUGCUAACUUUGUAGUGGGCCACGUUGGCAGCCGACAACGUGACAUCGGAAGUUAGUACGCGUUACAUUUCAUUGCUUUCGCUUGACUAGUUGGUUUAUACCUAAAGUAAAGGUUCAUUAGUAUAGGUUUUAUUAAUCUAUAUUUGUUUUGUGCUGCAGCUUAAGAUGCCUGUGACUCGUUCGCAAGCCGCCGGGGCAGCUGAGGCGGCGAAUGCGCAGGAAGUGGGGACCUCCGUUACUUCUGGAGCUAGUGGGAUCCAUGAGUUACAGGAUCAACUUGCGAAGCUGACAGAUUUGGUUGCUCAGCAGGCUGCGGCAGCGCGACAGCAGAUGGAUGCCGUGCGUCGACAGGAGGACAGAAUGAAGAAGUUAUAGGAUUUACUACUGCGGCAGACGACCGACAGAGAGAUUCCUGAUCCUAUACCUACAGUACCAGACAGGGAUGCGACAGUGAGAGCACAGUCAUCGGUACCAGAUACACCCCCAGUUGCUCCGAGGGUAGAGACCCGACAGGAGACCGUAGUACCACCACCAGUACCGGUAGUGACAUCAGGGACAGUGUUACCAGAGAUGGUAGGGGCUGAAGAGCGAGAGCGGAUGAUGGAACAAUUGAAUGAAUUCCGUCGCUGCAACCCUCGUAUCUUUGACGGAGAAAAAGCUGAUCAUUGGGUGGUCGAGAAAUGGCUGAUGCAUAUGGAGAAACUGUUUUAUGAUACUUUCGUUGAGGAGCGAUAUCGGGUUUGGUUUGCGACGCACCACCUGGAUGGCGAGGCUUACAGGUGGUGGAUGGAUAUUCGUGAGGAUCCUCGUACUGAUUUGUCCGCUAUUACCUGGAUGAGGUUCAAGGAAUUACUGUUGAUGACUUAUUUUCCACAGAGUGUGAAGAGACAGAUGGAAAGGGAUCUAAGAAACCUGAGGCAGGGGGACAGGAUAGUAGCAGAGUAUGAGCGAGAGUUCUCCCGAUUGCUGCAUUGUGUUUCUUUUGUGGUCAGAGAUGAUGAAGACAAGGCUCGAAUUUUUGAGGCAGGUUUGCGACCCGCGAUUUUCAGACUAGUCCAGGCGUCAAACCUUUCCACUUAUAGGGAAGUGGUGAACCGGGCACUGAUUGUUGAGAAGGGAGUAGAGAUUAUGAAAGAAAGAAAUGUUAUGGAUCGAAGCAAAGGAAAAAGGCCAGCAGCUGAGAGCAGUGGUCAGCAACCCUUCAGGAGACCACCGAAGUAUCCGAGGGGCCAGCCGGGCCAGUCGAGAGAUCGAGGUUCUUCAGCACCCCGUGGAGCACCCGAGCGUCGUCGACAGCCACGUUGUGUCAUUUGUGGUGGGCCUCACUUUCCACCACAGUGUCCACAAUGUGGGGGCAGGUGCUUCCUUUGUGGUCAGGAGGGCCACUUUCGCUCAGAGUGCCCGAGAGGUUCUUCACCUGCACCCUCAUCGGCAUCAGCCCCUGCAUCUUCAGCUCCGAGCCAGGGGACUCCGUCAGCACCCUCGCAGUACAGACGACCACCGGGAUAGCGGCAGUCUGAGAGUUCUCGACAGGGUUCGAGCGGGCGCAUGUAUGCCGCCCAGACUGAGGAGGCUGCAGCAGCCGAGGAGGUCGUAGCAAGUAUCAUUAUGCUUUUUGAUAUUCGUGUUCAUGCAUUAUUUGAUACUGGUGCUUCGCAUUCUUUUAUUGAUCGGCAGUUCGCCGAGUUGCAUAGCAUUCAGGUAGUACCUACUCUGCAUCUAGGACGAGUGAUUGUGCCCGAUCAUACCCUAGAGAUUCGUGAAUUUUGCCCUCGCUGCCCAGUUCGGGUAGGCGACUGGAUUAUGCCAGUAGAUCUUUUGGCACUACACAAACUAGGGGAGUUUGAUAUAGUAUUGGGUAUGGAUUGGUUGACUCAGUAUUAUGCCACCAUAGAUUGCACGAACAGAACGGUGACCUUUAGGGAACCGGGCCAGCAAGAGGUUGUCUAUAAGGGGUGUCAGAGUUCAUUGUUCGCAAUGACUAUUAGCUCUUCGCGAGCACGAUAGUUGAUUCAGAGGGGUUGUGUAGCCUAUCUGGCUAGCAUCUCUGUGAGUAACAGAGGAGCCGUCAAGAUUGAGGAUAUUCCAGUUGUGCGGGAGUUCGGGGAUGUGUUUCCAGCUGAGUUGCCUGGUAUGCCACCUGAUAGGGAAGUUGAAUUUGUGAUAGAUCUUGUCCCUGGGACUACCCCAAUCUCGAAAGCACCCUAUAGGAUGGCACCCGCUGAGUUGAAAGAGCUGAAGGCACAGUUGCAGGAUUUAUUGGAUAAGGGUUUCAUUCGACCGAGUGUAUCUCCUUGGGGAGCACCGGUGUUAUUUGUUAAGAAAAAUGAUGGAUCUCUUCGAUUGUGUGUAGAUUAUCGAGAAAUCAAUAAAGUCACAAUCAAGAACAAAUAUCCAUUACCCCGAAUUGAUAAUUUAUUCGAUCAGCUGCAAGGAUCGAAAGUAUAUUCUAAGAUUGAUUUGCAGUCAGGUUAUAAUCAGCUUAAGAUCAAGCCUGAAGAGGUUUCCAAGACCCCUUUUAGGACACGGUAUGGGCAUUAGGAAUUUACCGUUAUGCCAUUUGGACUGACAAAUGCCCCAGCAGCCUUUAUGGAUUUAAUGAAUCGCGUCUUUAAGCCCUAUUUGGACAGGUUUGUGGUUGUAUUUAUCGAUGACAUCUUGACCUACUCUCAAAACGAUGAGGAGCAUGAAAACCAUUUAAGAGUGGUGUUACAAGUCCUUCGAAAAAAGAAACUGUUUGCAAAAUUAAAGAAAUGCGAAUUUUGGCUUCGAGAGGUAGCAUUCCUGGGCCACGUCAUUUCAGAGGCUGGGAUAGCUGUGGAUCCAAAGAAGAUUGAAGUGAUUAAAGAUUGGCCUAGGCCGACCAGUGUCACAGAAAUUCGGAGUUUCCUUGGUUUGGCGGGAUACUACCGAAGAUUUGUUGAAGGGUUUGCAAAGAUGUCUACGCCUCUCACUCAACUGACACAUAAAGGGGCUAAAUUUUUGUGGAAUGAGGCUUGUGAAAGAAGCUUUCAAAAGUUGAAGGAACGAUUGACUACCGCCCCGAUUCUAGCACUGCCUGUCACAGGAAUAGAUUAUGUGAUUUAUAGCGAUGCGUCACUAAAUGGAUUAGGGUGUGUUCUAAUGCAGGAUGGCAGAGUAAUUGCUUAUGCAUCUCGCCAAUUGAAAGAUUAUGAAAAGAACUACCCUACACAUGAUCUUGAGUUAGCAGCUGUGGAAUUUGCUUUAAAGCUUUAGCGUCACUACCUCUACGGCGAGCGUUGCGAAGUUUACACGGACCAUAAAAGCUUAAAGUAUCUGUUUACACAGAAGGAAUUAAACUUGAGACAACGUAGAUGGUUGGAGUUGCUCAAGGACUAUGAUUUGACUAUCCUUUAUCAUCCAAGAAAAGCUAAUGUUGUAGCAGAUGCUCUAAGUCGAAAAUCGACGAAAAAUUUGGCGACGUCGAUAACCAUGCAACCACUGUUAGUAAAGGAAAUGGAGCAACUGAAUUUGGAAAUUGUAGCUCCUGACACGCCUUGGAGACUCAUUGGUGGUGCAACCUACCCUGAUCGAUCGAAUUAAAGAAAAGCAAGUUCAAGAUGAAUUUCUGCAAAAGAUUCGAGCAAAGAUCAUUGCUGAUCAUGAUAGUGGUGAGUUUCGAGUGGAUGAUCAGGGAUUGAUAAAAUUCGGCGAUAGGCUUUGUGUGCCAGCAAAUCCAGAUAUUAAAGAGGAGAUUCUAACCGAAGCACAUGGGCACCGUAUACUUUACACCCUGGGAGCACGAAAAUGUAUAAAGAUCUGAAGCCCACUUACUGGUGGUCUGGAAUGAAAAAGGAAGUUGCUGCUUUUGUGGCCAGAUGCUUAACCUGUCAGCAGGUUAAGAUUGAACAUCGACUUCCCGCGGGAAAACUACAAAGUUUACCCAUACCAAUGUGGAAGUGGGAGAGGAUCACUAUGGAUUUCAUUGUUGGAUUGCCUCGCUGACAGGGAGGUCAUGAUGCGAUUUGGGUAAUUGUGGAUAGAUUGACUAAAUCUGCCCAUUUCAUUCCAAUUCAUACAGUUUGGUCAGGGGAGAGACUCGCACAAGUGUAUCUUGAUGAAAUUGUGCGACUACACGGAGUACCUGCUUCUAUUAUUUCUGAUCGAAACACCCGAUUUGUUUCCCAUUUCUGAAGGAGUUUACAGGAGGCCUUGGGUACUCGAUUGGAUUUUAGUAUUGCUUUCACCCCCAUAGUGAUGGACAGUCCGAGCGUACCAUCCAGACCCUCGAGGAUAUGUUACGGGCCUGCGUGAUUGAUUACCAGGACAGUUGGCCACAGUUCUUACCGAUGGCUGAAUUUGCUUAUAACAAUAGUUAUCAAGUAAGCAUUCAGAUGGAACCUUUUGAAGCCCUUUAUGGUAGAAAGUGCAGAUCACCACUUCAUUGGAGUGAAGUGGGUGAGAGAUUGGUUUUGGGUCCAGAUGUAUUACAAGAGGCUGAAGCUAAAGUUCGACUGGCACGAGAACGUCUACUGACAGCCCAAAGUCGACAAAAGAGUUAUGCGGACAAACGUCGACGAGAACUGGAAUUUCAAGUUGGCGAUCAUGUAUUCUUGAAGGUGUCACCGUCAAAGGGGGUUAAGAGAUUUGGUAUUCGAGGGAAGUUAAGCCCUCGAUUUAUUGGACCCUACGAGGUAUUAGAGCGGAUUGGCCCCGUAGCGUAUCGGCUUGCUUUGCCGCCAAGCCUAUCGGGAGUGCAAAAUGUAUUUCACGUAUCUACGCUUCGAAAAUAUGUUUUUGAUCCAACUCACAUAUUGGAGAGUACUCCAGUGGAUUUACGAGAAGAUUUGAGCUUUGAGGAGCAUCCAGCGAGAAUACUAGCUCGAGAGGUGAAAUGGCUUCGAAACCGUGACAUACCGUACGUGAAGAUACUUUGGAGCAAUCAUGAUGAACGGGAAGCCACUUGGGAACUGGAGAGUGCAAUGCAAGAGCAUUAUCCCUAUUUAUUCCCGAUGGAACCGUGAGGUAAGUGUUUCCAAGUUUCGCGGACGAAACUUCUUUUUAGGAGAGGUGAAUGUAAUACACUGAACUUUUGCAAAUUGCGGAGUUCGAGUGUGUGGCAUGAGUUGUGGAACUAUCCUACAUGUUCUAAAAGGUUUAGACAAGUUUUUGAACAAGUUAGAGGAUGAUUGGAAAGCUAGAAGUGAGAAAGUGCAUUGCAAUUUCGAAAUCAGCAUUUUCUGCAUUGUGUACCGGUACAGCCAUUACCCUGUACCGGUACAGCAAGCAGCAGAGUCAGCUGCUGCGGGACAGCAGGGCUCUUUUGAUCUUUUUACCUCUUGUUCUUAUCUCCACUGAUCCAGCACGACCCCAAGAGCUCUGUAGAAGUUGCUGGAGCUCAGAGAAAGGUUCCUCCAUCUUCUUCUUCUUCUCUCUCUCUAGGGUUUUCUCUCUCUAAGUUGAGGUCGCCGUUUUGCGCCGAUUUCGCGUCGCUAUCGCCGCUCGCCGGUUUGGUGGACUAGGAGCCAGCUUUUAUAAGGUAAAGGGGUGUGUUUUGACAGUAUUUCCCAUGUUUAAUUUCGAGAGUUGUUGAAAGAGAGCUUUAGAGAAGUAUUUAGCUCACUUUGCUCUCUAAUUUAUACCUUAGUAUUGGAAUUUGAUGUGUAUUAGUUUCACUGCUUCCAUCUGAAUCUGAGGAUGUUUCAGCAGCUUGAGAGGAGUUAACUAGCUGUGAAUUAAACCCCCUGGACCAGAGAUAAACUGCUCUAAAGCUAGUUAAAGGUAAAGCAUGAUUUCUUAAGCCAUUUUGGAACUAUAUGCGAUUUAAUCGAGUAAAUUGACGCAGUUUGGGAUUGCUCCUUCGCAGCAGAUUUCCAAAGGUAAUUGAGCUUAUUUGGUGACCUUGGGAACUUAUUUAGAAGGUGUUCUAACCUGAGGUACGCAGGAAUUUCAGUUAGAAAACUGAAUUCGCAAGAUUCCGACUAUAAGUAUAGUAGUUGACGACUUUGUUGCCGUUUUGGAAAUGGUUCGCAGCGGGCUUGCAACAGACCUUUGGAUCAUCCCCAGUUGAUGCGGGAAGGAUUUUGGAAGCUUAAUUUGAGGUAUUAACUGAGCCAAAAUAGGGAUUUAGACUAUUAAUAUGUGUUAAGUGCAAUUGCGCCGAAAUUGGACAUUUCGAUUGUGGUUUUAAUAUGAUAUUUAUGCUUUGUGUUCAGCAGGAUUGAGACCUAGGGGAGUUGAUCCUUGGAAUUCCUUUGGACUGAUUUGAGCUUAGUACUAGGUGGUUUUGACCUAACCAGAGCAAGUGAAGCUCCCCUAUGUUCUAUAUGAUACUAUAGAAAUAGUGUAUGAAUGCAGUUUGCGUGAUUUGAAAAUUAACAUAGAUUCAGGACAUUGUUGUCAUUAUCAUUGCUAUAUGUAUGUGUAGUGAACUGAAAUCUCCCUUAAGUAGAGAAAUUCAUGCAUAGAAGUAAACAUGUUGAUGUUUGACUUGUUGAAUGAAUCAUGGAUAAUCUAGUAUGUUCCUAAAGUAGAGAACUAUGACAUGAUUUAUGAUUAUAAUGAUAGUAUCAUGAUAGUGGAUAGUUUCUAAUGCCAUAGGUGAACUCGCAUUAUUCUCAUAUGCUUACUAAACUAGUGGAUACUAGUGAUUGUCAAUAUUCAUUAUAUCGAGAAUUCCGAUCAAUAGAUCGAGAGUAGAACCUAGCAUACUAUGCCAUGAUGUUGAGAUAUGUUGGAUUAUGGAUUUUGCUUGCUUGCCAUUGUGCUCAUUCGCACAUGCUUGUGAGGGUAGCUCCCUACAAGCCGGCACUCCGGAGUUGGCCUACGCGACAGUUGCUCGCCCGUGCGGGAUUGGGUGCCGAAGUGGAUUGCCGUGGGGAGUGUAUACUACCACGGGGCCAUUAGGCGCGGCGCAAGCUGGACUACCUCGGGUAGGUCCUGAUAAAUGAAAAGGAAAACUCUAAAUGAGAUUAAGUACUAAAUGAUAGUUGACAGUAAUGAAUGCUUACCUGUUACAGUAGGUGUUUACAUAUUCAUGCUUAUGUUCAUGUUAUAUUCUUUAUUGCAGAGAUUAUGAUUACAUGUUGAAUACAUGCUCAUCACCUGUUAGCAGUGCAUAUAUACAUAUCAUGCAAGUAUUGCUUUUACUUUCAUUUAGUACAUCAUGAGCCUAGUGGUGUAAUUCGCCGAGGCUGGCGCCUUACCCACUGAGAACUAUUGUUAAUAGUUCUCACGCCCUUUUAUUGUUGUUUUUACAGAGCCAUCUACAGGAGAGGCUAGGGAUCGUGGCAAGGGAGUCGCGUCUAGCUAGACAUUGCUAGGGGCAUGCUAGUUAAUCACCUUGCUACUCGGGCUACAGCCGAGGGUGAUGUCCCUAUGUAUAGAGAGACCACCAUUGUACCUACUUGUUGUAUACCCCAUGAUGUAUAUUUACUGUUGGGCCAGAUGUUUCAGUUGGGAUACCUUCUUAGUUGUUGAGAUUUUGGGAUUGUUACUCUUUGUUCUAUUGUUGAUAGUCCUUGUGACUUUUUCUAUGCUCUGAUAUCUGGAUAGGGUUAUUUUAUGUUUUUACUCCUAUCGACUUGUUUCUUGUAGACGCCUUAUAUACUGCAGGUGUAUGGCGGGUCUGUGCACGUACCGGAUAUGCUUCCGCUGAUACCCGGGCGUGACAGAAGUAGACUUAGUAGUGAUGGAAAUAAAUAUUUUGUGACAUUUAUAGAUGAUCAUUCAAAGUAUUGUUAUAUUUAUUUGAUCAAAUCUAAAAAUGAGGUUUUAAGCAGAUUUAAGAUUUAUAAGGAUAAAGUUGAAAAUCAAUUAGAUAAAAAAAAUCAAGAUUUUGAGGUCUAAUCGAGAUGGUGAAUAAACUUCAAAUAAGAUGACUGCUUUCUGUCAAAAGUUUGGAAUUGUGCAUCAAGUGACUACUCCUUUUAUACCCCAAUCUAAUGGAGUUGCUGAACGUAAGAAUAGAACUUUGAUGGAUUUGGUGAAUUCGAUGAUUAUUAGUUUAGGUGCACCCGAGAACUUGUGAGGGGAAGCUCUGAUUUCUGCAUGUAUGAUUUUGAAUAGAAUUCCCCACAAGAAUUCUAAUGUGUCUCCCUAUGAGCUUUGAAAAUGUAGGAAGACUAAUUUGAAUUAUUUUAAAGUGUGAAGGUGCCUAGCUAAAAUAAAGAUACCUGAAAAUAAGACGAGAAAGAUUGAACCUAAAACUGUGGAUAUAGUUUUUGUGGGUUAUGCACAAGAUAGCAAUGCAAAAUAGAUUUUUGGUGGUGAAUUCUAAAAUUAAUGAGAUUUCUAACAAUACUAUUAUUGAGACUAGAGAUGCAGUGUACUUUGAGGGUGUUUUUUUUUUUUUAGAACUAGAGUAGAUAGACCUAUUCCAGCUGAACCUGUAGGUAGCUCUAGUAGACCUAGAAUUAGUGAACCUAUAGGACAGACUGAACCUAGGAGAAGUAAGCGUUCUAGAGUAACAAAAAAUUUUGGAGAUGAUUUUUGUGUCCUGCUAGUAGAAGAUACUCCAUCUACCUUUGACCAAGGUAUGAUGUCUGUAGAUGCAUCGUUUUGGAAAAAGGCUAUUAAUCUUGAGAUGUAGUCUAUUCUACAGAAUCAUACUUGGGAGUUGACUGAUUUACCUUUAGGAUGUAAGCCUGUAGGCUGUAAAUGGAUCUUUAAGAAGAAGUUGAGACCCAACGGAUCUGUAGAUAAGUAUAAGGCUAGAUUAGUGGCACAAGGAUUUGCACAGAAGUCUGGGGUAGAUUACUUUGAUGUUUAUGCCCCUAUUGCUAGGAUCUCUUCUAUUAGAGUGUUGAUUGCCUUGGUCUCUAUCCAUGAUUUGAUUGUUCAUCAAAUGGGUGUUAAAACAGCNUUUAUGCCCCUAUUGCUAGGAUCUCUUCUAUUAGAGUGUUGAUUGCCUUGGUCUCUAUCCAUGAUUUGAUUGUUCAUCAAAUGGGUGUUAAAACAGCAUUUCUGAAUGGCGAUUUAGAUAAAGAGAUUUAUAUGAAGCAGCCUAAAGGUUUUAUAGUUUCUGGGCAUAGAACAAAGUGUGCAAAUUGAAUCGAUCUUUAUAUAGACUUAAGCAAUCCCCUAAGCAAUGGCAUUUGAAAUUUGACUUUUUGGUUGUAUCAAAUGGUUUUCAUGUGUCAUGACUGAUGAAUGUGUGUAUUCGAAGGAAUAUGAUGGACAAAUAGUGAUUUUAUGUUUCUAUGUUGAUAAUAUUUUGAUUUUUGGUACUACUAUGAAUGUGAUAUAUGAUGUGAAGAAAUUAUUAAAUAAAAAUUUUGAUAUGAAAGAUUUUGGGCAAGCAGAUAUUAUUCUCAACAUGAAAAUAUUAGAAAAUCGAAAAAAUUAUUAUGAGCCAAUCCCACUACAGUGAACAAUUACUGAAAAAGUUUAGAUGCUUUGAUGUUAAACCUGUAGUGACACCCUAUGAUUCUAGUGUGCAUCUUAAGAAGAAUAGAGGAGAUCCAAUAGGUCAAAAUAGAUUUUCACAGAUUAUUGAAUCUUUAGGAUAUUUGGUAAAUUACACUAGACCUGAUUUGGCUUUUGCUGUAAACCGAUUGGAAAAAUAUACCUAUAAUCCAAAUGGAGAGCAUUGGAAUACCUUAGAAAAAGUUUUGAGAUAUCUGAAGGGGACUAUAUCUUAUGGAUUGCAUUACACUAGUUUUCCUGCCGUAUUAGAAGGAUAUAGUGAUUCUAAUUGGAUUAGUUAUACAGCUAAUGUAAAGUCGACUACUGUAUUUAUUUUCUUCUAGGAGGAACAACUGUUUCUUGGAAGUCAACUAAACAAUCUUUAAUUGCUAGAAGUACUAUGGAAUCUGGACUCAUAGCCUUAGAUACAAUUGUAGCAGAAGCUAAGUGGAUUAGAGAGUUUCUUUAUGAUUUGCCACUUAUAGAGCGACCUUUAGUACCAAUAUGUAUUCAUUGUGAUUGUAGAUUUGCAAUAGAUAAGUGUGCCCAAGAGAAUGUGGAGACUAAGAUGAAUAGAUUCAUGAAAGUGAGACAUAAAUUCAUUCAACAGAAUUUGAAGUAAAAUUUGAUUGGGUUGGAAUUUGUGAAAUCUACAAAGAAUUUGGCUGAUCAGCUAACGAAGGGAUUAUCUAGGGAAGUGAUCCGAAAAUCGUCGAGGGAGAUGGGGCUUAGCCCACAAUAGAAGUUACUGGCGACGGAAACCCAACCUAUUGCAGGUUCAAUGGGUAGAAACAAGUCAAACAGGCAGCUGUAAGGAGCACUAUUUUUAUAUCCUCAUCACUAUGGCGACAGUGUUGAUAUCUGCAAGUGGAUAGGAAGGGCACUGUCCCUAAAUGGCUCCGAGACCAAUAAUGUAGCAUACCGAACUUCUAUAAUUAUGAAGUUACGGUGUAUGUUGGUUUGGAAGACUAUUAGAAUGGUUCCGGUGAAGUUCGGGAGUAUUCAGGUGUUUUCGGUACGCGUUGGGCGCGAAAACGGAACCCGACAAGCUAUGAAUGGAUCUUGGCCGAAAUCCGGUAAGGCAUGGAUGAAAAGAUGGUUUGAACACACUCGAAAAUAUGUUUUGGGGGUCUCGGUGCGAUUUGAGGCGAAUCGGAGACCGACGGAGCAAAAACGAGCGAAAACGGAGAAGAAACGGCAAAAGGCUGAAAUUUUGGCUAAGUCUGGAAAAUGCUGAAAUUUUGGAUCUACAGGGUCUGGUCUCUCUAGCCAAGAACCGGUCCCCGAGCCUGAAAACUGCACAGUAGCAGUGGCAAAAUUGUGAUUAAGUGGUAGGGGUUGACUUAUAAAAGGUGGAUCAUCUCCUACCUCCCUCCCUUAGCCAUUUUCACAACCUCACACCCAAGCUUAGAGAGAGAAACACCUCUCCAUCUCUCUAGAUUUCUCCUCCAUCUCUCUAGAUCCAUCUCCCAAAUUCGGAAGCUUGGAGGAGAAGGACGUUGUGAACGCAUUAGGAGCGACAGUUCGGGCCCUCGUGCGCCCGUUUGAGCGAGGUGCUUCCGUCUCAGCGUUCAGAUUUUGGUAAGUGUUUAGGAUUUGAGUAAAUCCUUCAUGAAUGGCUUUCUAAUGAUCCCUAGACUAUUAAAUGCAUGUUUCUCCAUAAGAUUAUGGAUUAGUUGGAGUAUAUGUACAUGCUAGAGCUUAGAAAUAGGGGGUUUUGAGUUUGUUGGGGUUUUAAUAUAUUUUAACCCCAUAUUUCUUUAAUUGAAGGUUAGAGAUGAGCCCCUAACAACUCUAAGUUGAGAAUGGACAAGUGUUUGGUGAUCGUUUGCGAGUACGAGCCGAAUCGGACAACGAGUGCCGCGGGCGGCCGAUUGCAAGUGUCGACAAGCAAUCGAAAAACGAUUUGAGGUGGGUUAUGCCCACCGAAGCGACUAGGUCGCCUCCAUGUCGAAUUGAAAUGUGAUCUCUUUAUUGAUGCAUACAAUGAGUUAAUGCUAGAUGGAUGCAUGAGUUAGAUGCUAGAUGGAUGCAUGAAAUUGAUGCUAUACGAAUGCAUGAUUCAUAUUAUACUAGAUAAUGUUCCCUAUCAUUGGAAUCUACUAUAUGAGAAUAUAUGCAUGUUGAUAUAUUGUGGAUCAUGUGAAAUGACAUAUGCAUGUGAACUUGGGUUGAUAACUCUAGGUUGAUUAUAGAACUCGACAUUGGAAAACAAGAACAUAUAAUUGUAAUACUCGAUGUGGACAAGUAGAAUGUCUAGUAGAUCGAGUGGCAUUGAACCUAGUGUCGUAAACAUAGGUUGAACAUGAGUGGCAUUGAACCUAGUGUUAAUAAAUAUAGGUUGAACAAGUGAACCUACAAGUUGAGAUCUAGGUAGAGAUGACAUAGAACCUAGUAUAGUUGAGCCUAGGUCGUGGACUAUAGUGGUAUUAGCCACUAGGAUAUAUAUGGGUCGAGCCUAGAUAGGUCGACAGUUUAGGGUUGUAGAUGACCCUUGAGAUGUGAAGUGGAUUCUAGAAUCCCUAGUGAUGUGGCCGUAGAAAAAGCGGUGGAAACUUGUGGCAGAAUGCAAGUGAAUCAGAACUGCGGGUAUGUGUGGUUCUCCUCGUCCGACAGUGAUUCAACGGGUAUGUGUGGUUCUCCUCGCCCGGUAUAAGCUUGAUAUGGGUAUGUGUGGUUCUCCUUGCCCGUUUAGCCUAUUGGAUGAUGCUGCUAGGAUUGACUUGAGCUAUUGUUCGGUGUGUACGAUGCGUUCGCCGCCAGAUGUCUAAGUCAAGGAGUGCGGUGGGCUGUGAUGGAAGCCAGGCUGUGGUAGAGAUGCAGCCAGUGCGCGGUAGUCCGCAGAUGAUUGACUCGAGGCCGAGUCCGGUGGAUAGCUUGGUUAAGGUAGUGGAAACCUUAAAGGCUAGUGAUAAAUGGCAAGAUUUAAGGCGGUAGAAACCUUAGAUGCUAGUUGGACUUGAGCUGCGGAACUAAGGUAGUAGAAACCUUAGUGCUGGUUGAUAUGAGCUAUGGAUAGUAGGAUUGAAAGUAGAAUCAGUUGAUCUACUUAGUUGAUUGCAUUUGUUGCAUAAGUUGCAUAAUUUGCAUGUUGCAUGUCUUGAGGCACAUUCAUGUAUUUCAAUGUUGCAUAAAAUACUUGUGGAUAUCUGUUGGACUAACAUGAUUGCAGUGCCACCUUCGGACCUGAUGGGUCGAGCUUUUUCCUUGGGUGGUCGUACCCACUGGAAACUAUGGACAAUAGUUCUCACCCCCGUGUUGUUUUUGGGGGUACAGGUUCACACGCGAGCGGCGCGACAGCACGAAAAAAGGGCGUAGCUCCGUAGUUAGCCCCCUACCACCGAGACCAGAGAUAGCGGUACCCCGAAGAGGUUUAGCUUAGGGGUAGAAAAUGAAAGAACAAAACUUGUCAUAAGUUGUAAUAACUUGGAUUGUAUUUGGAAGAAAACAAGAGUAAUUGUGAUGUAAAAAUGCGUGUAAUGUGAAUGCUUGUAAAAGCAUAGUUUAGCAUUUAUGUUUUUGAUACUUUCUUAUGCAAUCUGUAUAUUGAAUACUGUUCCUAGUUGGAACCUUUCGUACUGUAUUGAUUGCGACGCCUAAGACGUACAGGGAAAACUCUGUCCGUUCGACAAUCUGUUGGCAUGCCCGAACCCGACCAAAUAAGCGGGUGGCGGGGCGUGACAAAUAAAGCAGGGUGUGACCUUGCAGAUACCCUUUGAAGAACUACAAUAUUUGUGGAGUCGUGAGGCCCGCGACUAAGGGAAGAGGGCAGUUCCCUAAAACACACAUGAAGCGAUACUAGCGCAUGGCCAUAAAAGCGCUCACCCGCUUAGAACCUAAAUAGUUGUACCAUGUGUGCUAUUCGUGGAAAUCUGAUUCACCGGCCUUGGUUCAAGGCGUAGUCUACCAUCGUGCCCUUGGAUGUCCUUAAUUGGCCUCUUGGGCAGCCCAAUACUUAAUGGGCUUUGCUUGGGGGCCCAAUUAAAGUUUCCAUGUGUGAGGUUUAGUCCUACAUUGAAAAUUAAAAGGGUGUUGUUGGUAUAUAUAUAUAUAUAUAUUCCUUUAUUCUCAAGCUAGUUGCUUGGGAGAAAAUGAGAGUUAUGCUCUCGUUUAAACACACGCACGCAUGCACGGCAUGAGUCGGGCGGGCAACGACGCGUGCGGUCCAUAUACCCGGUUUAUUUUAUUUUAUUUUAUUUUAUUUUUAUUUUUUCGGUUUUAUCUUUAUCCUAAUCUUAAUCCUAAUCUUAAUCCGUAUAAUCUUAGGCUUAUCUUGUUCUACACGGAUUUGAUGCGUUGAAACAAGAUUCUUGCCUUUGUUAUAUAUAUUGGACGAAGUUGCAUGAGUUCAACAUGAACCAGGGCAUACCUAAGAGCAAAAACCUAUCCUCUACCUCUUAUUUUCUUGCUUUCUCGCCAUUGAUUUUUGCCGAGCUUUCUUUGCUAGAUCUGAAGCUUGUUUGUGUUCGUCUUGCGCCACCUUGAAAGCGUGCUGACGGGGUGGAACGUGGUCGUUGUACCGCUGAAAGUAAUUGCCAGGAAGCCUCGCACGUGGAGGGGCAAUUUCUCUUCCAGUGCUCUGCACGCCUCUAUCCACAGGUCUUUUCUAAUCCUUUUCUUUACAAUAUUUUUAUUUAAUUUCUUCUCGAAAUUUUUUCUAAAUCUGAAAUUAAACUUUCGAAUUGUUUUUAAAGAAUAUUUUAAAAAAAGAUCAAAAAGACUUUCCAAUAUAAAUUACUAGUACACAAUCCCAAAGCAAUCGGAAGAUCAAUUUCUUUACCGAUUCCUGAAAACUGCAAGAAAUUUUUGAAAAUCCACUGGAACACUUUUGAAACCCCCGAAGUGUCCCGAAAGGUAUUGAUUCACAUCGUAGACUACCGUUUGACCCAAAACACACCGAUUUGGGUGCCCGGACAGCAAACACAUGAUCCAAUGUUAUUAAUUACGAUUACUAAUAAUAACGCCAUAUUGGGUUCCCGAAAAUGCCAAUUCUGGAACCCUCUGCUUUGCUAAUAAUAAUGCCAUUAUCAUUAGAAACUUCUAGCUAGAAAAUAAAUUUCAUAAUUUUUGAAAUUAUAAUAAAGUCUAUCAAGCGAGCAUAAAAUAAAAGGUCAAAACCGAAUUACCUUUUAAAAAUAGAUGAUCAAAUUCUGCAAUUAUGAUCGGGUUUAUAGGUCACUAUCUAGAUAGUGAAUAGAAUUUUCUAUCAAAAUUCAAUCGAUUCCGAUUUUUUUACACCGUUAAACUUGUGAACAUCCUAUACUGGACAUUAAAAAUUGUCAAUUUUGAAAUCUAUUGAUCGUAAGGUAAAUGAUAUUGAAAAAUUAUGAAAUUUGGUGUCUUAAAGUUUCAAAUGCUCUAAAUCAUGCUUAAUAAUAUGGAUCGUCCAGUCGAAAGCUCUAUCAUCGAAACGACUUAUGAGUACAAAGUCGAUCGUACUCAUUAGAGUACAGUAGCCAGACUCUAUAUAUAUACUUCGUACUCAUGAGAGUAAAUAUAAUAGCCAGAUUUUCUCUCUCUCUCUCUCUCUCUCUCUCUCUCUCUCUCUCUCUCUCUCUCUCUCUCUAUAUAUAUAUAUAUAUAUAUAUAUAUAUAUAUAGUAAAACUAAUAUGUUCUUAGAAGACUGACCGUUCCUAGCGCAAGUGGCAAGAGGUUUUGAUUGGUAUUCGAGGUCCCAAGUUCGAAUCCUAAUUGAUUCACAUUUUUAGCUAAGUUUAUUUCUAAAAAAAAUAAAAAAAAUGUUCUUAGAAGCGUAGCAACUCAUAUGCUUCCAUUUAUUUAGACGCUAGAUCUCCGUCCCAAAAGGAAUAAACAACGAAUACUUGGCGCACGCUCGCACAACUUUUAAAAGAGCAAUAUUACUUACAAUAGCAGACGAAAGAAGAAAAUGUCUUGGACAAUACUGCUCUUUGAGAUAACAUUUACAUCAUAUAGAGCUAUGUAGUCUAAAAGAAUAAAAAUAUAAAUGAAAUUUCUCUAAAACCCUACUUAAAUAAUCAAUAAAAAAAAAAAGAAAACAAAAAGAAAAGUAACAGGAGGUACCCAAAAAAGUACUCAUCACUAAAAAGUAAAAAAAAAAUUAAAAAUAUGAUAGUCACACAACUGAUAUAGUGUCUCCAAACGAGCACAUUUGGCUUCUGAAAUUCACCUAUCUCAUCAUAAAUUUUAUUAUAUAUAUUUUUUUAAAAAAAGUAUGAUCAAUGAGAGAUAGAUGAUGAUACGGUGUAGCGGAAGACACCUCCCUUUUUUUUUAUUGUUUUAAAAACUUUUCCCCCUCAAAUUGCUCUUAUUUUUUUCGUUUAAUGCUAAAUGAAGUUAACGGAGGCUUAACAAUCAUCUUUUGUAAAAAAAAAAAAAAAAAAAAAAAAAAAAAAAAAAAAAAAAAAAAAAAAACUCAUUUGUUUCUUUUUCUUCCCUCUUCGACUUAUUCCUCACCCCGAGUCUCUGCCGCAUCUGGUUUUUCUCCUUCGACAUAUGGUCCCGGAGCUUCUCCCUCCUCGACAUAUCCAUUUAUUUCGGAUCACGAUUAAUAUGAAAUACAGCCUCUUUUCUUGGUUGAUCUAACACAAGAAGGUAAAAAAAAUAAAAAAUAAAAAAAAAAAAAAACUCCAUAAGGAGAUGGCAUACCCACUCAGAAAGAAAAUAAAUUUUUCUUACUUUACUUUUGUUUUCAAAAUGAUGUAAUAUAGAGACCGCUCGCAUUUUUUUAUAUAUAUAUAUAUAAGCCCCACUAAUUUAUGAAAAGUAUAUGUAAUGUACGUAUAUUGUCAUUAAAAGCUUUUUGAGUAAAUUAAGUAUGUUGUUAUUUUGUAGUUUGAAUAGUUGAGAAAUUGUGUGCAACUAUUUUUUUUGAAAAAAAAUGAAAUUGUGAGUAAACUAUAAUUAUGUAUAUUUCUACUCAGGAAAGUUUGGAGUAACUGUAAUUUAUGCAUAUUGUAUUUUCCAAUUUGUAAAGUUGGUAAAUUGUAUUCAAUAAUUUAAUUUUUACUGUUUUGAAAAAUUUGGUACAAAUUAUAGGGUAUUUGUAAAUUAGAAUAAAAUUAUGGUAUUAACUACGAGUCAUAGACAAGUUUUUACCUCGAAUUUGAGCGCAUUCUUGUCUUCUAUAUAUUAGCUCUCAAAUGAGCCUGUAAGUUUAGAAUUAGAUUAGAUAAAGAUUUUGUUAUAUUUAAUUGACUUUCCUCUAAAAGUCACAGUUUUGUAUAAUAGCUUAUCAAACCCAAGCCAGCCGUCAGUCCUCCCAUGAGGCUUAACACCGAUCCAUUAAUUUGGGUUUUGUUUGCAUGGUUUCGAGCCAUUUCGAUAUAGAAACGUGACAUUAAAAUAUUAAAAAGUAAAAUUAAUUAAGUUCAUGCAUAGUAAGUCCUUAAUUAGUUUUUCAUAGAUGAUUUUCUUAGUUUUUCAUAGGUGGUUUUCUCUUUCUGUUGGAGACAUCAAAGGGAGAAGGGAAAGUAAAGAAAUAUGUUCGGACUUAUAUACACACCUAUUUCAUAAUAAAGAGAGAGGGUAAAUGUGGAAUGAAGAGAAGAGAAAUAUUACAUGCAUGUUGGUAGGAGUGAUAGGGUAGAUACGUACCGUCGUUGCCCCGGCUCUCGCGCACAGCCAGUCGUUGCCGUCGACGCCAACUGUCUCAGCUGUCAUGCUCGACCAAUCGCCGCGCUCGCCACUACGGACUUUUAUUUAGGCAUGAAUCUCAUACAAAUUUAAUUCUUAUAUGUAAAUAUAUAAUUUAUAAAAUAUAACUUAAUUUUAUCAGUAUAAUUGUAUAUAAGAUUAAUUAGUAAUUAUAUAUUCUUAAAAUAUAAAAUAGUAUUAAUAUUUUAUUCGUUCAUUGCGAACUGCGAAUUUUACGCUUGUAAAAUAUCUACGGAACUCGACAAAAUAGAGGACAUAUAUAGUGCAACUGGACAGUCGUGGCGUUUGCUCCAAAAAUCCGUAAUGAUAAUCACAUGGAGUUCACAGGCGGGCGGGCAAAUUAAUUGGAUUUAUUACACAUUAAACCGUACGUGUCUCGCGACGACCCGGUAAUAAGCAUGCAACUCAUAUUUUGGUUUUUAUAUGUAACUAGCAAAUAUCAUUUUUAAGGAUCAAGUUAAGGAUCAAGAGUGUAGAUUUUGCGUUAAAUAGUUUAAAAAAAAAUUAACUAAUUUGAAUAUUUUUACACCGUUAAACGAGCGAACCGUCUAGCUAGAUCGAUUGUUAAAAUUAUAAUUUUUCAAUCCUCUGGUCAUUUCGAAAAUGUAUAAAUUUUAAUUUUUAAAUAUUUUAAAUAGUUUAGAUGUGAGACUUCAGAUAGUUUUAUAUGUAAGAUAUAAUUAAUAGGGCUAAACUUCUUAAUGCGGCUUAAACAUUUUGGGCCGUGGUUAGGCCCAAGAGGUUAUAGGGUUGGAGUUCAAAGAUGCAGACCAUAUAUGCUUAUAGCUUUUAUAAUGCAUAUGCUUUAAAAACUGGUUUUAGUAUUAGAAAAGUAAGUCACUAUAAGGCAAAGAAAUAAGAUGAAAUGGUGACCGGGUUGCAUGCAUUUCACUUGUUCUAAAGAGGGUCAUUAUAAACCACGACAUGAAACUAAGGUAGAUGACCCACAAAAAGAGAUGCAAUACACUCGAACAGGAUGCAAAGCACAUAUUCAGAUUAAAAUGACGUUAUCUGGCAAGUGGAAAGCAACUCGAUUUGUGAAGGAGCAUAAUCAUGUUUUGAUCGAUAGUCCUUCAAAUCUCGUUUCUUGACGAUCUCAACGCUCGAUGACAAAGCAACAAAAAGACUUGGUCUGCAUGUUAAGUGAGCAAAAUAUUUUCAGUUCUCAAAUUAUGUCAUUCAUCGCUGCACGAGAGGGAGGAGCACAUAAUGUUCGUUUCACAAGAACGGAUUUAAACAAUGUGGUAACAGAGAAAAAUAUAUCACUACUUGGUGUUGAUGUACCAUUGACAAUUAACCAUUUUCGUCAGCUACAAACGAGAGAUCCAUCUUUUUUUUAUGCUAUUGAUAUUGAUGAGCAAGGUAUGUUGCGGAAUUUAUUUUGGGUUGAUGGUAGAUCUAGAAUAGCAUACCAAAAUUUUGGCGAUGUUACCUUUGACACCACUUAUAUGACUAAUUAGUAUAGUAUGUCGUUUGCAUCUUUUAUUGGUGUUAAUCAUCAUCAUCAAAUUAUCUUUUUUGGUUGUGCCCUUAUUAGAAACGAAUCAGCUAAUACAUUUUGUUGGCUCUUUCGUACAUGGCUUGAUGCAAUGUUUGGCCAACACCCCUAGGCUAUAAUUACCGACCAAGAUCCAGCCAUGAAAAAGGCAAUUGAGUAAGUUUUUCCUCAAACAGUGCAUCGGUGUUGCGAAUGGCAUGUUAUGCGAAAAGUAAGAGAACAUCUAGGUCUGGUGUAUAGCACGAAGGAAGGCUUUCAGAAAGAGCUUUCCUGCAUUGAUGGUAGUAAUACUAUCGAAGAGUUCGAAAUGAGAUGGAUCGGUGUGCUUCAGAAGUUCGACUUGUAUGAUAAUAAACACCUCCAAUUAAUGUGGAACAAUAGACAUCAAUAGGUGCCUGUUUAUUUUCGAGAUACAUUCUGUUGGAAUAAAUACCGCAAUGAAAAUUUGAUUGUGAUUAAAAAUCUAACUAAUUUGUAAUAAAGAUAAAAUUGAACUUACAGAUAAACGCAAAUAUUCUAAUAAAAAUUUGAUCUUAUCCGGAAGCAUGCGAGGCACUGUCCUAAGGCUUAUUCCCGUCCUUCGUGCAGGAUUAACCAGAAAUACCGCCCCAAGAUACGACCGGAAUUUCUUCUCCUACAGACACGAACGCGGAAGAGGUUGACGAAGCUUCUUUCAACACCCGGCAAUAAAAUGAUCAAAUAAAAUGAAUAAAAAAAAAUUAAAUCAAUUUAAUAAUUAAUUAGUAGCUCUCUCUGUGAGCUCUUUUGUCCUUUUCAUCCCCCAGUGUAAAGGUGAAGGACAACAUCUAUAUGUAUAAGGCGAGUACGAGAUGGACUCCAAUGUUCGGCUCCGGAAAGUACGCCUUCGAGUGCUUUCACGCCUAACGACGCGCACUAUGGCGCAUAACGUCCGCGCCACUCUCGGAUUCCAAACAGCUCUAAACAUCAAAACAAUAAAUAUAUAAAUAUAAAUAAAUAAAAUAUAUAUUAGAAAAUUUUGAGUUUUUCCAACAAUCCCCCACAAAAUUUAAAAUUUUCAAAAUAAGAAUUAAACUCGAAAACAAAUUAAAGAAUAGAUCACCGAGUGUUUAUACUAUGCAAUAGGCGAGAUGUCUUUAAGAGACUUAACUUCACUCAGUGUUAGCAGUUUCCAUCAGAAGGAAUCGGAGUGAACCAGGUCUUGAGCUACGUUCCUUUGACCUUGACUUCAACUACUGCACACACAGUACAUAAUUCUCCGUCGCGGGUCUGUGCGUUAAUGGCCAUACACAGUACCUUGAUUUUUCAUAAGAGCUUCUAUGGAUAGCCCAUAUCACAUAGCCGCGGCCACAUACAGAUACUCUUAUAUAGGUGGUUUUCUCCAGGGAUGUGUGUAGAGUCACAUCUCGCAAAAAUUAUCGCCUUGGAUUCCAUUAAAAGCUAUCAACUCAACCUAAUCCACUACACAGAGCACUACUCAUCAUAGGAAUGGGAUUGGAGCUAAAGCUCCUCUAUAUAAAUUGUAGAAAGUGCUCUUUGGCCAACCUAGCAGCUUGUUUUUACCACAUUGAACCUUCUUCAAGGGAUCUCCUAUCACAAAGGUUGGGUUCCCACUACAGGAAGGCCCAUUAUGGGCAAGUCCCAUCCCCCUCGAUGAUUCCAGGACCUUAGUCCUAUUCAGGCCUUUCGUUAAAUAAUCUGCAAAAUUCUGUUCAGAUUUGAUAAAACACAAAAUGAGAAUAACCAUCUAAUAAAUUUAUGUCACAAAAAAAAAAAUUUACCUGCCAAUCUUAGAAUUUACAAAAUUCAUUUCCAAGAUGAACACUUAGGAUAAAAUCACGAGAGUAAUUAUAAUAUCAAAAUUUAUGAAAUUGAUAAAACUGCAACCCCCCACAAGUUUUGAGAUAUAUCAAAACUUAAAAUUAUGAGGUUAAUCAUGUCUAAUGGAGUUUUGUUCAACAGCAAAUAGAUGACCCAAAUAGUUUUAAAAUUGAUUUCAAUUAGAUAUUUUCAAGAAAAUAAUGCUAGAAAAUAUUUAUGUUGCAAGCAUUGUAUAAAGAACAAUAAAACAAAAAAAACAGAACAGUUAAAUAUUAAAGUUGGCAUUGUAGGUUAGGGAGUGCCACUAAAGCGUUUGACCAAACUUACUCUGUGGGUUUCGAGUCCUCCUUGGAGCAGAAAUAUUUUUGAUACUCUGCCAUUUUCAGUAGUCAAGUAAAAUUUUCAUACUUAAUAUUGUACAUACAAAUAAUUAUAAGGUGCUUCAGAAACAACGUAUAAAGGCAAAUUAAUUUUGAAAAUUUAGAUGGAGAACUCGAAAAUUCAUUCUAUCAAAAGUGCGAAACAUAGUCAUGACAAGAGGACAGCAACUAUAGACCCUUGGCAAGUUCAUCAAGUUUAAUUGCCAGGAAUGAGUGUGUGAAACUCAUAAGAACUGGUGUUUGGUCAGCCACUGAAAAUGCCAGAAUGUGCAAACUGCAUACCAAAAGGACCCUGCAAGCUCAACCUCCUCGUACAAGUCUGUAAAAUCAGAGGGCGCAGAGACCUCAUGGUUCCGCAUAACCAAACAUGCAUCAAUAGCAAAAUGUUGGAGCCAUUAAGUGACAAAAGGGAUAAGAAAUACUCUAGAUAUUAAAAGGACACCAGUAACAUUACUUGGUACACACUGAGAGGAUUCCUACAGGUUUACAUUCUAAACAAAUAAUAAAUCUCAAAGCUGUAAAUGAUAAUAAUAUAUUAGACUACAAUUCAAAUCAAUAACCAUAAAAAUAAAUUCCAAGAAACAAGAAUCACAGAUCUAAUAAUCCAUUUAACUUCCAAGUAAUUCUCUCUGAAAUUAUCAGGAAAAUUUGGGAUAACACAUGCAGCAAAGCAGUUAAACAAGUAUCAUAAAGAAGGGAAUAGAUAGCAAACACAUUUGUACAAAAACUAAAGAGAUAAUUUACAAAAAUACUACUAUUUCAAAACUUAAAUACUUCGACCACAUAUGAACAAUUGCAGUAUCAUUUAAAUUCUUUAACUAACGAUACUAUUAACUUCUCAGUAAAAGAACUAUAAGAGAUAAAAAGUAAAUCUGAAGUUAAUUAUAGCUAAUAACAACAACAUAGAUGAUUAAACAACAAAAAAAAAAAAAACUGACAGUACAUGGUAUUGAAAAAAAAAAAAAAAAGGAGCACAUAAUAAUAUGAUUUUAGUGAUAUUUCAUAUUCGCUGCCUUUUUUGAGAUCUAUAUGACAAGCUAAUUAUACCACAUUUAUAAAUGGUAUAAGAUAAAGGCACAAAACAUUCAUUUACAGAGUACAUUUUUAAGUUCUGUAUGACAGAAUCUAUGCCUUUAACUUUAUAAUAAUGUGUGAAACUAUUACGCGUACGUAUGUGACUUUUUCAGCACAAUAGAUAUGUAGAAGCAGAUCAAGAAAUGGAUCUAGAACCUAAUUUUGCCAUCAUGAUUUAAGUUAACCAACAAAUUAUAAACAUAUAAAAUCAUUUUAAUACGGAUUAGCAUCCGUUAGUUUUUAAUCACAAUCAGAUUGGGAUCUAAGCCUUAGAUUGUUGGAACAAAUACCGCAACGAAAAUUUGAUUGUGAUUAAAAAUCUAACUAAUUUGUAAUAAAGAUAAAAUUGAACUUACAGAUAAACGCAAAUAUUCCAAUAAAAAUUUGAUCUUAUCCGGAAGCGUGCGAGGGACUGUCCUAAGGCUUAUUCCCGUCCUUCGUGCAGGAUUAACCGGAAAUACCGCCCCAAGAUACGAUCGGAAUUCCUCCUCCUACGGACACGAACGCGGAAGAGGUUGACGAAGCUUCUUUCAACACCCGGCAAUAAAAUGAUCAAAUAAAAUGAAUAAAAAAAAUUAAAUCAAUUUAAUAAUUAAUUAGUAGCUCUCUCUGUGAGCUCUUUUGUCCUUUUCAUCCCCCUGUGUAAAGGUGAAGGACAACAUCUAUAUGUAUAAGGCGAGUAUGAGAUGGACUCCAACGUUCGGCUCCGAAAAGUAUGCCUUCGAGCGCUUUCACGCCUGACGAUGCGCACUAUGGCGCGUAACGUCCACGCCACUCUCGGAUUCCAAACGGCUCUAAACAUCAAAACAAUUAAUAUAUAAAUAUAAAUAAAUAAAAUAUAUAUUCAAAAAUUUUGAGUUUGUCCAACACACUCUUCGCUGCCAUGUGUACUUCGCAACGUAGUGAAAGCAUUAAUGCUGUCACUAAAAUUUGGGUCGACAACCAUACAUCAAUAUACAAAUUUGUCCUUCAAAUUAAAAAAGUGGUUGAAACUCGAUACGACAAAGAAGAUGAGAAGGAUUACAGAAUGAGAGGUGGUGAGGUGAAGCUUUAUUCAUAUGAUCCCAUUGAAGUUCAAGCUCGUGAUAUUUAUACAAAAAGAAAUUUCUUUGAAUUCAAGGAACAAUUGAGAUUGAUCUUGGGACAUUCAUUGCACCAUAUAAGUAACUGCAAUACACAAUCCUACAAUGACCUAUUAUUGCUAGCAUGAAUCGAUUAGCAGAAAAGGUCUCAUGCAAUUGCAAAUGUUCGAAUUUACGGGCCUUUUAUGCACAAAGGAGAUCUUUCAACAUUCAAUCUAUACAACAUGAGGCAAUGGGUGACUCUGUGCAUGCAAAGGUUAUAAGGUCUAAUGCACUUAGUCAACGAGUGCAAGAGUUGUCCAUCAAGGUGCGAAAUCAUUCGGAUCAUUUGAGUUGACUUGUUAAUUAUUUAAAAGAGUUGUUGAUGAAAUUGUUUCGUAUAAUCAAGCUUCUAAUGUAGUACAAGGCUAAGAAGUUGAAGAAUUUAAUGUAGCUCCACUUACACAAACAAGUGACCUUGAUGUUACUUUGAAGGACCCACCACAGUCACAGUGUAAAGGAAAGAGGAAACCACAAAGAUUUAAGCCUUCUAUGGAAAAGCGAGCUAAAAGGUCCAGAACAUGUGCGAAAUGCAAAAAGAAAGGUCAUAAUGUUCGAACGUGUAAAGAGGUAAUCUAUUUUGUAGUUUUAUUAAAACUUUAUUGUCUUCUUUUAUACUCCAAAUAGAGAAUCUAAAUAGUUUUCUCUUAUCUUUAUAUAGGUUGCACUGGGAGAUGCAUACUUCGAUGUAGAUGUUAAUGAAAGCAACAGCAAAUAACGUAUUUUGUUAAUACUUUUGUAUGUAUGGUUUUAGUGUAUAGUUUCACAUGUAAAUUACGCCUUAUGGUGCUUCUUUUUGGUUUAAAAAGCUUUGUUAUAUUUUGAGAUAUAAGGGUCGAUGUGUAAUUCAUGCCCUUAGCUUUGGUAUUAAACUUCUAUCUUAAAGAAUAACACAUAUGAAAAAAUGAUUCAAUGAUAUAUUAUGUUAAUGAAAGCAGCAGGGAGUAAAAUAUUUUGUUCAUAUUUUUUUAUGUAUGGUUUGGAUGUAUAGUAAAUUAUGCCUUCUGAUACUUCUUUUUUGGCUUAAAAAGUUUUGUUAUAUUUUGGGGGAUAAGUGUUGAUCUGUAGUUCAUGCUCUUUAGCUUUGGUAUUAAACUUCUGUCUUGAAAAAUAAUACAUAUAAAAAAAAUGAUUCAAUGAUAUACCAUAUUGUUUCUAUUUCUUUUCCUACUUUAGGUUUGACAUGCUCUUCUCAAACUUAAUUUGUAGAGCUGCUUUUUAUUUUGAGGUUGAAGUUAUUAGCAAGUAGCUAAUAUUUGAAUAAGUAUGCAAUAUUCUAUUUUGAUCAGUAAGCAUGCAGAAAGUAACAAGCUGAGAUAACCAGCAAGCUACAANNNNNNNNNNNNNNNNNNNNNNNNNNNAAAAAAAAAAAAAAAAGGAGCACAUAAUAAUAUGAUUUUAGUGAUAUUUCAUAUUCGCUGCCUUUUUUGAGAUCUAUAUGACAAGCUAAUUAUACCACAUUUAUAAAUGGUAUAAGAUAAAGGCACAAAACAUUCAUUUACAGAGUACAUUUUUAAGUUCUGUAUGACAGAAUCUAUGCCUUUAACUUUAUAAUAAUGUGUGAAACUAUUACGCGUACGUAUGUGACUUUUUCAGCACAAUAGAUAUGUAGAAGCAGAUCAAGAAAUGGAUCUAGAACCUAAUUUUGCCAUCAUGAUUUAAGUUAACCAACAAAUUAUAAACAUAUAAAAUCAUUUUAAUACGGAUUAGCAUCCGUUAGUUUUUAAUCACAAUCAGAUUGGGAUCUAAGCCUUAGAUUGUUGGAACAAAUACCGCAACGAAAAUUUGAUUGUGAUUAAAAAUCUAACUAAUUUGUAAUAAAGAUAAAAUUGAACUUACAGAUAAACGCAAAUAUUCCAAUAAAAAUUUGAUCUUAUCCGGAAGCGUGCGAGGGACUGUCCUAAGGCUUAUUCCCGUCCUUCGUGCAGGAUUAACCGGAAAUACCGCCCCAAGAUACGAUCGGAAUUCCUCCUCCUACGGACACGAACGCGGAAGAGGUUGACGAAGCUUCUUUCAACACCCGGCAAUAAAAUGAUCAAAUAAAAUGAAUAAAAAAAAUUAAAUCAAUUUAAUAAUUAAUUAGUAGCUCUCUCUGUGAGCUCUUUUGUCCUUUUCAUCCCCCUGUGUAAAGGUGAAGGACAACAUCUAUAUGUAUAAGGCGAGUAUGAGAUGGACUCCAACGUUCGGCUCCGAAAAGUAUGCCUUCGAGCGCUUUCACGCCUGACGAUGCGCACUAUGGCGCGUAACGUCCACGCCACUCUCGGAUUCCAAACGGCUCUAAACAUCAAAACAAUUAAUAUAUAAAUAUAAAUAAAUAAAAUAUAUAUUCAAAAAUUUUGAGUUUGUCCAACACACUCUUCGCUGCCAUGUGUACUUCGCAACGUAGUGAAAGCAUUAAUGCUGUCACUAAAAUUUGGGUCGACAACCAUACAUCAAUAUACAAAUUUGUCCUUCAAAUUAAAAAAGUGGUUGAAACUCGAUACGACAAAGAAGAUGAGAAGGAUUACAGAAUGAGAGGUGGUGAGGUGAAGCUUUAUUCAUAUGAUCCCAUUGAAGUUCAAGCUCGUGAUAUUUAUACAAAAAGAAAUUUCUUUGAAUUCAAGGAACAAUUGAGAUUGAUCUUGGGACAUUCAUUGCACCAUAUAAGUAACUGCAAUACACAAUCCUACAAUGACCUAUUAUUGCUAGCAUGAAUCGAUUAGCAGAAAAGGUCUCAUGCAAUUGCAAAUGUUCGAAUUUACGGGCCUUUUAUGCACAAAGGAGAUCUUUCAACAUUCAAUCUAUACAACAUGAGGCAAUGGGUGACUCUGUGCAUGCAAAGGUUAUAAGGUCUAAUGCACUUAGUCAACGAGUGCAAGAGUUGUCCAUCAAGGUGCGAAAUCAUUCGGAUCAUUUGAGUUGACUUGUUAAUUAUUUAAAAGAGUUGUUGAUGAAAUUGUUUCGUAUAAUCAAGCUUCUAAUGUAGUACAAGGCUAAGAAGUUGAAGAAUUUAAUGUAGCUCCACUUACACAAACAAGUGACCUUGAUGUUACUUUGAAGGACCCACCACAGUCACAGUGUAAAGGAAAGAGGAAACCACAAAGAUUUAAGCCUUCUAUGGAAAAGCGAGCUAAAAGGUCCAGAACAUGUGCGAAAUGCAAAAAGAAAGGUCAUAAUGUUCGAACGUGUAAAGAGGUAAUCUAUUUUGUAGUUUUAUUAAAACUUUAUUGUCUUCUUUUAUACUCCAAAUAGAGAAUCUAAAUAGUUUUCUCUUAUCUUUAUAUAGGUUGCACUGGGAGAUGCAUACUUCGAUGUAGAUGUUAAUGAAAGCAACAGCAAAUAACGUAUUUUGUUAAUACUUUUGUAUGUAUGGUUUUAGUGUAUAGUUUCACAUGUAAAUUACGCCUUAUGGUGCUUCUUUUUGGUUUAAAAAGCUUUGUUAUAUUUUGAGAUAUAAGGGUCGAUGUGUAAUUCAUGCCCUUAGCUUUGGUAUUAAACUUCUAUCUUAAAGAAUAACACAUAUGAAAAAAUGAUUCAAUGAUAUAUUAUGUUAAUGAAAGCAGCAGGGAGUAAAAUAUUUUGUUCAUAUUUUUUUAUGUAUGGUUUUGAUGUAUAGUUUCACACGUAAAUUAUGCCUUCUGAUACUUCUUUUUUGGCUUAAAAAGUUUUGUUAUAUUUUGAGGGAUAAGGGUUGAUCUGUAGUUCAUGCUCUUUAGCUUUGGUAUUAAACUUCUGUCUUGAAAAAUAAUAUAUAUAAAAAAGCGAUUCAAUGAUAUACCAUAUUGUUUCUAUUUCUUUUCCUACUUUAGGUUUGACAUGCUCUUCUCAAACUUAAUUUGUAGAGCUGCUUUUUAUUUUGAGGUUGAAGUUAUUAGCAAGUAGCUAAUAUUUGAAUAAGUAUGCAAUAUUCUAUUUUGAUCAGUAAGCAUGCAGAAAGUAACAAGCUGAGAUAACCAGCAAGCUACAAAAUUCAGCACUUUGAAAGAUAUAAAGCAUAUGAAUUACUAGUUUUGACAAGUAAUGCUCCACAGUUUUAAGUAGUUUAUAAUACCUGAAAAGAGUUUUAAAAUUUUUUUGCGGUUUUGAUCAAAUUUUCAAUAGCUGUAGGCAAUUUAUGAUAGUUGAAACAGUUUUUAACAAUUUUGUAGUAAUUUUGAACAAUUUUGAGCAGUUUAUGAUAGCAAAUUCAGCGAGCUGCUCUCAAAGUUAUUUUAAGUACAUAGCAAAGAAUUUGUAAUACCUUAAAUUGUCUGAAUUCAAAUGCCAGCAUCUAGAUUUGUUUAAGCGUCGGAAGAAUUUUUCUAAAUUCUACAUUAUAUUCAACUCAAGAAGCAUAUAAAAUUGGAUAUAGUGUACAUACAACUCGAGCAAGAAUUCAAAGCACUUUGCAAUUCAUACAUUAUAACAAAAUAGUAGAAAUAAAUUGUGUAAGUGUUAGUUGCUUUAAUAACCGCUCAAAACAUACAGCAUACAUGAUUUUGCUAUUUAAAAAUUGCAUUAUUCUUAUUUUUCAUGUUCUUCUCUUGUACAAUACAUUAUCCAAGAUACAAGCUAUGUGAAUAGUAUUUUAAUCUAUAGAAUAAUUACACUUCAUAAUUCCAUAAUUACUGUGUCUCAUGGAAGCAGCAUAAUUGCUACCCAAGGGCUGCAAUGUCUUCAAAAUGCAACCAUGUAUUGCAAACUCUUUAGUCAUCAUAAUGCAAACCAGCAAAUUAUUUUUCCUCCUUAGGCAUCAGAAAACCAUUGCACUCCAAGAAACCACAUUUCUCAUAUGCAUUUCAUCCAACACCUUCUUAGCACUUGCUAAAUCGUCAACAAUGCACACGCCCUAACAAUUCAUAAUCCCCUAAUUUCUAAAAUUAUUGACACAGUCACGGGGCAGAGGCAAAAUUGGGAGCCGCAGUCAUAGCCGCAACGACAGCCAAUGACGCUGCCUGCUACCAAACAACCAUUAGAUUAAAUAAUUAGGAAAUGAGAAAAUGGGUUUCUCAAUUGCCCAAAUCAAGCAUAGCAAUCAAGGAAAGAAAAGAGAGAAAUUUUACUAAUUAAUUAAUUAAUUACCUGUUGAAGACCACAGUAAGCAUUUUGAAACUUGUGGGGUUCUCCAUGAAGGCCUUGAGCUCCGCGGCUCUGACUCUGCAAGUUGUGGUUAAGCACACGACGGGCGCCAACGUCAUCUCAUCCUGACUCGGCGAUGGCCUUGCAACCACUAUUGGUGCUCGCCACGAGGGAUGCCUCCAUCGUCGCCAUCGGCAUAUAGUACUUCAUUCUAUCGAGCUCCAGCGGCACCGCCACAAGGAGCUUCAUGUACCCCACCAAGAGCUCACAACCCUGCCCAAGAUAGACCCAUAGCUCGAGCAGGACCCUCUCUAAUUCCUUUCCCACGAUCCGGCGCAGCGCCUCAGGAGAGUUCGAUUGCGAUUGGAUCGAAGGAGAUUGAAGAUGGGGUUAGCGGGGAAAGAAAGGGAAAAAACAUAUAUUUCUUUGCCCAUAUUGACAGAGCACUAUUUAGGGAUAGGGAAGGAAAUAGAAGAAUUCUUUACCCUUUUUCACGUAUAACCGUUUGGGGAUAAAGGUGGGAAAAAAAAAAAAACUUGCGCCCCUCGCGUUUUGAAAUUUCACUUAACUCUUUUUUUGUUUACUCUGUUAGGCUCCGCACUACUCGCGCUUCGCCAACCGAUCGGACGGACAAAAAAUUAAUAGUAAAAAUCCACUAUACUAUCGAUAGCAAACCAACACAACUCUAUGUGUGUGUGUGUGUAUAUAUAUAUAUAUGAGUUGAGCUCGAAUGCCAUCGGUAGCAAACGGGCUCUGUUGCCACUCAUUGUUUUCGAUGCAUGAUAGAGCCUUCAAAUCGACGAUCGACACCGUUGAAUAUGAUCUAUACCACUUGAAGCAUCUAGAAACCAAAUUUCAUACUUUUUCGAUAUUGUUCUCUCGUUCAUCAAGUGGAGACAAAAAUAAACGGCUGAAAAUGAAUAUCCUCUAAAACAUAAUGAUAGAAAAUCUGCAAUCAAGAUCAAGAUUAUAGAUCUUGUUCUAAAUAGUUCAAAGAAUUUUCUAACCAAAAUUCAAUUGAUUUAGAUAUUUUAUACCAUUAAACGAGAAAAUGUCUCAUAUCGACCAUUAAUAUUAUAAAUUUUGAAAUCCUUUAAUCAUUAUGUUAAUAAUGUCAAAAAGAUUCGAAUUUUGGUUUCUAGAUGCUUCAGGUGGUAUAGAUCAUAUUCAACGGUACCGAUCACCGAUUUAGAGGUUCCAUCAUCGAAAAUACUCUAAAUCACAAAAUUUAUUUUCUAGGUACUUCAAAUACUCUAGAUCAACUCUAAUGGAGCCGAUCAUCGAUUCGAAAGUCCGAACAUCGAAAACAACUUGGAAGCACGGAGGGCUCCGUGCUUCUAGAAGCAUACCAGCCCACUCUCUCUCUCUCUCUCUCUCUCUCUCUCUCUCUCUAUAUAUAUAUAUAUAUAUAUAUAUAUGGGUCCGGCUACUAUACUAUUAUGAGUACGAUCGUCCUCGUACUCAUAAGUUGUUUUCGAUGAUAGAGCGUCCGAAUCGACGAUCCAUACUGUUAAACGUUAUUUACAGUAUUUAAAACUUCUAGAAAUCAAAUUUUAUAAUUUUUCGACAUCAUUUAUCUUACAAUCAAGAGGUCACAAAUUUGACAAUUUUUAACGGCCGGUAUGGGAUACUUGCUAGUUUAACGGUGUAAAAGAAUCGAAAUUUGUUGAAUUUUUGAUAGAAAAUUCUAUUCACUACAUAGAUAAAGAUCAAUAACUGCGAUCUUGAAAUGAAGGAUCCGAUCAUCCUUUUUUAGAACGUCGUUCGAUUUUGACUGUUUAUUUUAUGCCCACUUGAUGGACUUUAUUAUGAUUUCAAAAAUUUACGAAAUUUAUUUUCUAGAAGUUUCAAAUACUCUAGAUCAUAUUUAAUGGAGUGGAUCGUUGAUUCGGAAGCUCCAUCAUUAAAAACAACUUAUGAGUACGAGGGCUCUAAUACUUAUAAUAGUAUAGUAGCCGGACUCUCUCUCUCUCUCUCUCUCUCUCUCUCUCUCUCUCUCUCUCUCUCUCUCUCUCUCUCUCUCUCUCUCUCUCUCUCUCUCUCUCUCUCUCUCUCUCUCUCUCUCUCUCUCUCUCUCUCUCUCUCUCUCUCUCUCUCUCUCUCUCUAUAUAUAUAUAUAAAACUAGGCUAGAAUACUAUUAAUAGCACCAAUGACUUUGUGCUAUUAAGUUUUCUACCAUUGGAUUAAAAGAUAUGCGGUUAAAAUGAUGUGGGCCUUUUAGGGUUGAGUGGGUGGUUAGUUGAAUAAUAUAAUCGAAUGGAUGAAAAUAAUAAAAGAAGUAAAUCUAAUGGCAGAAAACUUGAUAGCACAAAAUACUUCGUGCUAUUGAUAGCAUCCCAGCUAGAUUCUAUAUAUAUAUAUAUAAGAAGAGAGAGAAAAGAAGAGAGAGAAGAGAGAAUUAGGCUGGAAUACUAUUAAUAGUAAAACGCUCUUUUUGCUAUCAAGUUUUUAACCCUUGGAUGAAAAUUGUAGGGUCAGGAUGAUAUUAGUCGGUUAGAGUUGAUGGUCUCCCUAGGGUUGAGUGGUCCCCACUGGGUUAUAGUAUUUAAAUCCAAUGGUUAGAAAUAAUGAAAAGAGUUGAUCCAAAGGCUAAAAACCUGUAGUAACAAAUGGAAUUUUUUGCUACUAAUAGUAGCCUAGUCCAACUCUAUAUAAUAUAAUACUGAUGUACUAUAAUAUAUAUAUAUAUAUAUAUAUGUAUGUAUAUAUAUAUAUAUAUUAUUGUAUGUAUGUAUAUAUGUAUGUAUGUAUAUAUAUAUAUAUAUAUAUAUAUAUGUAUGUAUGUAUAUAUAUAUGUAUGUAUAUAUAUAUGUAUGUAUAUAUAUACAUACAUAUGUAUGUAUAUAUAUACAUACAUAUAUAGAGUGCGUCUGGUAUGCUUCUGGAAGUACGGAGCGCUGCGUGCUUCCAAGUUGUUUUCGAUGUUCGGACUUUCGAAUCGAUAAUCGGCUCCGUUAGACUUGGAAGCACAGAGGGCUCCGUGCUUCCAAAAGCAUACCAGCCCACUCCAUAUAUAUAUAUAUAUAUAGUGGAAGUGGCUCAAAAUCAACGGCUGAAAAUAAAAAUCUUACAAAAUAUGAUGAUAUGAUAUUAAAUUUUUAGAUCAAAGUUAUUGAUCUUGUUUUAUAUGGUAUAAAAAAUUUUCUAGCAAAAUUUCAUGUGAUUUGGAUAUUUCUACACUGUUAAACUUGCAAACGGCUCACCAUGGCCAUUAAAAUUAUUAAUUUUGUGCCCCUUCGAUCACUAGGCAAAUAAUAUCGAAAAAAAUCACAAAAUUUAUUUUCUAGAUACUUCAAAUAUUCUAGAUCAACUCUAACAGAACUAAUCGUCAAUUCGAAAGUCCGAACAUCGAAAACAACUUGGAAGUACGGAAGGCUCCGUGCUUCCAGAAGCAUACCAGCCCACUCCAAUAUAUUAUUGAAGAUGAUUAAACUUUUCUAUGUAGAUGUAACAAAUCGUGGUUGAAUUAAGGACCUUUUUGAAGAGAUUUUUUUGGAUUAUGCAAAUCAUAUAACUAUUAUAGGUUGCUUGAACCGACGCCUUACGUGGAUAGAGGAAACUCUGUGAUGAAAAGUGGAUCUGUUGUGUGCCUGAUUAAGCUUCCAUAUCAAGACACGACAUAGUAGCCUGCCAAUUUUAGCCUGCCAAUUUGGAUGUUGAGCAGCUUCAGGCGCCAGGUUGGUUUCAUGGCGGUGGGAGAAAGGAGCUUUAUCGUAGCAUAGAGCUGGUUAGGCUAGAAUAAAUUAUUGUGAGAUCUUGUGGUCGUUGGACAUAUGCGUUCAGGGGCUAAGCAAUGGGCCGUGUCGAUGAUGUUUUGUUGUUUAGAGCAGGAUAAUUGGCAAUGGGUUGUUUGGGUGCAAUUGUGUUUGAUGAUAUAUCUGCUCUUGGGCAUUGAGGCAGAGAGCACGAGAUACUUAUAAUGUGUGGUGUUCAUGUGAAGUGGGUAUAUAUAAGAGACUAGACUGAUGAUAGGACCCUUUACUAGCUAAAAUUUGAGAAAGUGAAGCAGGACAGAUAAGUUUUGCAUGCAAAGACUUAGGCUCCGCCAGCCUUAACUACGGAAGCUGUAGUAGAUGCAUGGUCGGCCAAGAUUAUCUUGAUUAGGUACAAAUCAUGUAGAAGUGUUAGAUGGAACACAAAAGGAUGAGGAGGCCUGAGGUAAUGAUGACUCAUCAAAGAUGAUAUGUCAAGAAAUAUAGAUCUUAUUAAUGCUAGGAUCAAAAAACCAAUAAGCACAUUGAGUAGGUGAAUAACCAAGGGAAAUGCAAGUUUUUGAACAUUUCAAGCUUAUGUUUGGUAUACUGUUUUAAACAUGGAUAGGAUAGACAAUGAAAAAAAUUAGUUUCGUGUAAUUUAGAGAGUUGUUAAAAAGAGCUUCAUAAGGAGAUUUAAAACGAAGUAUUUGAUAGCUAAAGUGGUUACUUAGUAUGUAGCGGUUGGAACGAUCAAAGACAUAGGACCAAACAGAAGCUGAGAUGCUUGAUGAAGUAAUGUUAAUCCUAUUUCUACAUUAAGUCCAUGACGUCUUUCUGUGGACCCUUUAUAGUCGGUGUAUAGAAUGGACUUAUUGGGUGAUCGAGUGAUGCCAUGAGAUAAUGCAAACUUCCUUUUUUUAAGCUAAAUUUUUUUUAAAAAAAAAAUUAUAUAAGUAUCCACUUUUGCACUUUUCCUUCCCAAACUAGCAAAAACCUAUAUUUUUUCCCCUUAAAAUUUCAUAAAUGAUUUCAGGAAGGUACAACAUUUAUAGAGAGGGUAAAAUGAUCAAAUUAUCCUUACUUCUUCUAUAAGAAAAAAACAAAUUUUUUAAUAUAUUUCUGUCAUUAUAAAGGACAUUUUCGGCAUAAAUUAUAAGAAAUUGAUGGAAUAGCGAUGGAACUCUGACGGAGCGGGAGCUAAAUAUAACAACUUACAAAGUUGAGAGAGUAAAAUAUAGAUUUUUGAAAGAUAGGGAGGAAAAGUGAAAAACAGGUAUUUAUAAGGGGGUUUUUCCGUAAUUUAGCCUUUUUUAGCCCCUUUUUUUUUUAUAUUCAUCACCCCUAUCUAAAUAAAUUGGAACAAUAGGCAAGUCAAAAAUAAUUUUCAACUAAUUUUUUUAGGAAAUUAAAAAAUAUAUCAAAUCUAAUCUUUACGCAAUAAAGCCAAACAUAUUUUUGUAAAAUGGUCAACAAAAAAUAACAUAAUAGCUAAACCAAUCAAUUGAUCGCGUAGAAACUGGACUCCAAACAUCAGUAUAGAGAAGAUCGAGAGGUCAACGACCAGACAAUCUUGAGGUUCCAAAUGGUAGUUAAUUUAUGACUUCGUCAUUACAAUGACACGAGUUGGAUAGUAAGUUGAAGUAGACUUACAAAGAGUAGGAAGAGAACCAGUUUUCAGAAUAUGUUGAAGAAUUUGAGAAGAGGGGUGACCAAGUGGCUCUGACGCCAAUCAGUUUUAGGGACGCAAACACCUACCAUGGUUCCCAGUUUAUUAUGAGACGCGCGCCAACAGAGAAAGGUAUCUGGUAAACAUCAUUUUUAUUCUGGCGUCGAGUUAGAAUCACCCCCAUGCUCAGGUCCUUCGCCAAAGAAAUAAUUAAGGAAUAACUUAACUGAUGUUUUAUUAGACGUCUUACAAAAUUUAGAAACAAAAGUUUUUGUUAGAAUGAAUGGAAACCAUGCAUAAAGCUUCGAAUAAAGAGUAAGAAGUUGUAGGUGAGGAAAGUUUGGUGGAAUUAAUAUGUUCUGUCUAAAAAUCUGAUUCAUCGGCCGCAUAGUUUAACUGAAUAGUUGGAUUCUGCAAGUCAUCCAUCACAUGAUGAGAUGCAGCAGAAUCCAUGAACCACCCUCGUUCAGAUGGACGAGAGGAAAGGGUAUAGUUUCCAGCUGGUCACCAUAACAUUGCUUUGCUAAAUGACCAACUUUUUCACAGAUUUGUACACGACCAUUGGUUUUCGAUAGUAUAUCUGGCACUACAGCAAAAUAACUAGCUCGAGAAGGAUGGCCCCUAUAUGAGGCCUGUGUAUGUUGGAUUAUUAAGGUGUGUUUAGUUCAGAUUAUCCUGUUAGAAUUACAAACAAUCCUAUCAGAAUUACUGCGUUUGAUUCAUCCAGUCUGUAAUAUAAUCGGUAAUACAGUAUUACAAAUAGUGCAGGAUUACUACUAAAAUAUUAUCCAGUGGAGCGGUGAAUAUCUCAUAUUACCGAUAACGGAUUAUCUUGCAUGUUAUAUAAAAUUACAAGUUUACCCCAGCCAAACCAUCAAACUCUUUCAAUAUGUCAUUUUAAAAAAAUUAUUUUAAAUUUUUAAUUUUUAAAUUUUAAAUUUAGAUUUUAAAUUCAAAAUUUUAAAUUGUAAAGUUUUAAAGUUUAAAAAUUUCACAUUUAUAUUUUAAAUUAAAAUAUUAAAUUUUAUAUUUUUGUUCACAUUUUAAAUUUUAAUUUUAAAUUCAAAAUUUAAAUUAUUUUAAAAUAAAAUUUAGUAAAAACCUUACAUGUAAAUAAUAAAACAUUUUGCCAAAUAUGAAAGGGCAACUUUAUUGUCAGGAUUACAGAAUUUUAUAAAAUAAACCAAAUAUAGUUAUACACUAUAAUUCAGAAUUAUUUUACUGUAUUAAACUAACAACGAUAAUGCAAUAUUAACAGUAAUCUAAUUCAAAAAUUUUAGAUAUCUGAACAUGUCAAAAUAACUUGUAAUGCUAUAUAACGUGAACCAAACGUGCCCUAAGUUUUGCUAAUCUUGUUGAGAUGGUUGGUAGAGCGAUAUUAAUGCGACUGCCAGUUUCAUUUAUCUUCAAGGACAGCUCAAAACUCAAAGAGUUUGCCAUGUAAUUCAUCAAAGUUUUUGGACAUCUCAAGAGCGCGGAUUGCAGUGGAUAAUUCCUUGAAUUUCGAUACUAUACCAUUGAGCAUGUGGAGGAUUAACUCGUCCUCAUCAAUUGAAAUACUACAAGAGCAAGUUCGUCAGCAAUACCCUUCAGCAUUUGGAGGUAUUGGGCCAUCGAACUACUGAAUGUGCUUUACGAUAGAGAGACACUCCUUGAGACUUGUAACUCACCAAUAUCUAUGAUCUCCUUUUCUGUUUGGAAAGAGAGAUGGGUGAUAGAAUUUCUAGACAUGUAAAAUACGAAGCAAGUUAAAUACAUACCAAAAUUCAGGAUCAAAAUAAAAUAAAAUAACUCACAGAGCGCCAUAGAGAAGAAAUUCUUGAUCAAUCUACGGAAGCAAGAAGUUCGGCUAUGAUCUGGAAAUCACGAACCGAACUUGGGUAAUUUGGUUUCUCCUUCUAUCUUAGACACUUUGCCGUAUGGUGUGGAACCGACGGUAAUUCCUCACCAGAAUGCGUAUGAGAAUGUGGCAGGACCAAUACCCCUUUAUAUAGAGUGCAGAUCGACUUCCCAUCAAAGUCUGAUUAGAAUUCUAUUUAAAAUAGAUAAAAUAGGGAUAAAAUAAACCAUAUCAUGUAGUUCAAUAUCUAUUUAGAUUGACCUUUAUCUAUAGUAAAUCCUAAUUUAAAUAUGAUUAAUUGGACCACAAUUUAUGAAAAUCCUAACAAUCUCCCACUUAGCUCACAUUAGUCAUAUUCCAUGAACGGAUUUUCUAUAUUCCAACCUUUAUUGUACAUUAUUGGAAACUUUAUGGUCAAAUACCUUAAAACUCACUUGAUCUUUAGCUCAAACUAAAAAACUACAAUGAUAGAAACUAUGACGGUCCACCGCUACAUAUUAAAAUUUUUCUUCCAUAAUUACCAUAUCAUCUUCAACUUAUAAUCGAGUACUUUAUAUGGCACAACUUUAUGAAUGAACUUAAAACUAUAUGUCCAUUCGAUAACAGACAAAACUUUAUGCCUAUUAAAUGGUCCAACACAACUGCAUUAAACUUUAACUUUGUUGAAAGAAAAUAAGUAUUACAAUUUUAUACAUCGAAAGAACUAAUCAAACCCAUAUUUUUAACAUGAUCUGUAUAUGACCCAGGUGCCAGCCCCUUGGUCAUUAGGUCUGCAAUCAUAUACUUGGUACUGAUGUAUUCAAUUAUAACAUAACAUUCAUCUAUCUUCUCUCUCACAACAAGAUAUUUGGUGUCCAAGUGUUUACACCCUGCUAUAAUCUUGCUAUUAUUGGCAAAGGAAACCGCAGUUGAACUAUCACAGAAAACCUUUAUUGGACGACUAACAGAGUCCACAAUUCUUAAGUCUGUGAUAAAAUUCCUAAGUCAAAUAGCCUGUGAUGUGGUCUCGUAACAUACAAUGUACUCUGCAGCCAUGGUCGAAGAAGCAGUAACACUUUGUUUGUUGUUCUUCCAUGAUAUCGCUCCACCAGCAAGCAGAAAAAUAUAUCCAGUCGUAGACUUUCUGGUAUCUGGACAUCCAGCAAAAUCGAAGUCCGAGUACCUGAUCAGCUCAAGUGAUCUGAUCUUCUGUAUAUCAAUAUAUGAUCCAAAGUUCCCUUCAAAUACCUCAUAACCUUCUUAGCAGCCUUCCAAUGCUCCAUACCUAGAUUACUUUGAUACCUACCAAGUAAUCCAACGGCAAAAGCAAUAUCCGGACGUGUGCAUGUCUCACUAUUACAGGUACAAGAUUUAGUGGCGACAAAUGUCGCUACCAUAGGCAAAAUUGUCGCCUCGAAAAACAUUUUGGCGGCGACAAUUCAUCGCCGUAUGCUACCGCCUAAAACCCGUCGAUAAAACUAUUUGGUGACGACAAAAUAUCGCCGCUAAAAGUUAGAUAAUUAGCGGCGACAUGCUGUCGCCACCAAAAAUUAGAGAAUUAGUAGCGACAUGACGUCGCCGCGAAAAGUUAGAUAAUUUAUGGCGACAUUCUGUCGCCACGAAAUAAUUGGUGGCGACAAUUUGUCGCCACUAAAAGUUAGAUAAUUAGCGGUACCAGUUAUAUGGUGGCACUAUUGUCGCCACUAUUCUGAUCUAAAAUUAUUUAUCUAAAAUUAUUUAAAAAUAAAAUAAUUGGUAGUAAUAGAUAUUAUUGAUUUAGUAUAAAUUGCUAAAAAAUAACCUAUAAUUAUAAAAAUUUCUCAUUCUUAAAUUUUAAUCUUUAAUUUCAAUUUAAUCCUCUCAAAAUAAAAUUAAACCCAAACACUAUGUCUCAAACACCUUAGAACCAAUAUAGAUUAAAUCUAAUUGAAUCAAUAUAAGUAUUUAAUCAUAAAAUUAAUCCACACAAAUAAGUAAGACUGAAUCAAACUUCAAAUGUUAAGAAGAGUAUAAAUAAUCAUAUAAGGCAAAUAAGUAACUUAAAUUGUCUCACAAAAACCAUGUUAGAGUAUCAUUGCAUUGUCACCUAAUACAAUCACCCAACACAACCAAAAAACAAAACACAAUAAUAAUGUUUUUGUCAUUUCCACAUGCUAUCAAAUAUAAAGUUUUCAAAAUAUGUCUAAAUUCUUAAACUUGAUUCAAUACAUCGCCAAAAUACGACCAAAAUUUUUCUCGUCACCACAUCUUAUAAAUCUGAAAAUAAAAAUAAAAAAAAUUAGCUUUUCAAUAUUUGUUGAUCCCUAAAUUGAUAACGGAAAUAAUAUAAGAAUAAAGAGGCCAAGUACGUAGAUAAUAAUAUUGGCUAUGAACUAUAUAACAGACAGAAAUCGAUAUUAAUUCAGUUCAUGUAACCAAAUAUUGAGCAUUAAGAAUAACAAAAAAACUGAGUAACUUUGAGACUUCAUUUUCCCUAAUAAGUAUAUGAAACUCUCACUAGAUGUCGAGAAAUCACACAUCCUUAAGUCCAUACAUGUUUGUGUCGUGCAUGAAAAUACAAGCCGAUUUUUCACAAACAGAUUCAGCUUGUAUAGGACUUGGUUACUUCACAUGGUAUAAAAGCAGCUGGACCACUCCACUUUUUAGUUUUGAAACCCCACCCUUCCAUUCCUGAUUCCACUACAUAGGCAUUUUAUAAGUUGCGAGACCAGACCUAACAGGGACAAUUAUUACAAUUAAAAAUACAUGGUCCUUCCAUCUGCUAACAGUUUAAGCAUUUAGAGUUAAUUGUUUCAAACAAUAUGUGAAUUUGCACACAAACACACACAUUUUGCGUCGUACAUUUGCAUACAAACAUGAAUGGAAUGAGAAAUAAGCAAUGCAAACCUAAUGUUAGUUUCUGUAUUUGAAAUAUUAGCAAGUCCUCCAACAAUUAAACCUGCAACAGAAAAGUGACAAUCUUAUCAUCUUUUCCACUAUAAGCAACAUUCAAGAUUAAAGAAGAACCCUGGUUACUUGACAACAGUAUUGCACAAAUACAAAAAAUGGAAAGCUACCUCAAGCAGGGUAUCCUAAAAAUCCUAAAUUAUGAAACUUAAUCCAAAUAAUAACUAUCUAAAAAUCUAAAUAUGUACAAAAAAAAAAGUGCACGAAAUGUAAAACUGGUACUCUCGGAGGGAAGUUAAAUUAAUGUCCAAUCAAGUACAGCUUUUAGCUGCACUUCUUUUGACACGGAAAUGCUUCGGUAAAUAUCAAGUAUGCAGCCACUUCGGCUACCAUAUAAUAAUAAGAAUAAUAAAGAACAAGGCAUACAAAGGGUCUGUCCCAGCUUCUUGUUUUUCGAAGUUCACAAAGUGGAAUAUAAGUAAAGAGCUGAUUCAUAAGUGGAGAUGCCAAUUUAGACCCCAAACUUUGAAAAAUCAUAGCAAAAGGGUUUAUUAUUUAGCUGAAAAUUAAGGAUAAAUUUGGUAUGUUUUCAACAAAUUUGUUGAUUUGAUACCUCGACGAAAUGCAGAAAAAUUAACUAAUCAGUUAAUUUCUCAAAAAAAAAUCAAUAACAAUUCGCCUGUCGCAUUACUCAUAGACAGAUUGUCUUGAGAGAUGCUAAUCGGUUUCACCAUUUUUAGGGCGGAAUUUGCUCCUGUCGCGAUUUUUGGUAGAGCAUUUCAUGAACCAAAUUGGCCUACUAAGCAAGUAAUAUAACCUUUAUUCGCGCAAACUAACUUCCACUGCGAGGUAUGGCCUAAUUCCUAACAUACUAAGUGUUUAGUAGAUACUAGUUUGUUGUUUCUUUCUCAAACUUUUGAUGAGUCAAAGUUUCAGAAUCAGAAAAUUAGAUGCUAAACAAAUACUGAUGUGGAUCUAUGCAUUCCAGAAGGCAAAUCAAAUAUGAACGAAACAAAACCAAAACAAGCAUAUCCUGGAUCUAUGCAUUCCAGAAGGCAACAACAAGAAAUAAGCUUACCAGGAUGUAGACAAUAAGCUUACCAGGAUGUAGACAUCUCGACCCUACAUGAGAAACAAAAGAACAAUUCUAAUUAGUUGUUGCUUUUGUAAAAGUAAGCUUAGGGUUACAUGCAAGUUAAUGACAAAUCAGCUACCAUCUAAACGUGCGAACGAUUAUGUCAAGAUCGCCACUAUGUUAGUAUGUUAACUUUUAUCAAAAUUGUAGCUCUAAGGGUGAAAAUGAAGUCAGGGUUAAACUUUUUGUGACGAACUUGAAUUCAAACUUUGUAGUGCAAUUAACCCCGGUGUAUAAGUACAUCUCAUACAUCGCACUGUCAAAAUCGUCAGAUAGAGGCCUUAAAAUCAGAAUAGAGAAUCCAAAAUUUGCAUUGCCAACUGUUCUGAAGUUCAGUGCUUCAAACUGUAACUCACAAAUGAACUUGCUUAAAUUAAACUUAGCUGAAUGUUCAAUGACAAACAGUGCAACAAACAGGCUCUCCUACAAUACAUUUCAGAUUUGCAGCUUUUUUUGAUCUGUUUGAUAAAUCCAAGAUGAAAUAGUUUUAGGGUCCCUAACACGGUAAUAAAAUAGUGAUGAGUGAUGAGAGUGGCGAUUCCCACCCACCACCAUUUUAAGGAGAGUUUCAAAGCAGUUUUGAACCUCUCAAAUUCAUCAAAGCAUAAACAUGGAAGCCCUUGAACACCAAACAUCCAAACUAGGCCUUGUUCCUUGGUCACUUUGGAACAGUUCUACUCAAGAAUAGAUGCUCCGCAAGCAAACGAGUCUAAAGCUUUUACUACAACACGCAGCUAUUUUUUAAAACUAUAAAAACAAGUUUUAAAUUAAAUCUUUUAUUUUUACUGCAGUAAAAAAAAUGCUGUCCAUGUUGUAGUGAAAAGCUACUACUUUAAAAGUCCAAACAGCUCUCAUCAAAUAACAUUGACAAGCUUACUAAAGCAACGCAAAACCAAGUAUCACAAGAUGCCGCAGGUAUGAAGCAUCAAAAUAUCGGGACAAUUCCAACUUGACAAAGUGGAGAAACCUAAAGAACUAUUCUGUGGAUAUUCUCGAUUGUUAUCAUUUUCUGCACACUGCUUAAAUAAUAGAGCUAUGGGUGCUCUUUGACAAAUUUUUCACACACAUACCCAUGCAAAAGAAAAAGGAAGUGUUUCACUUUUGUCCUUUCCGUUACUUACGGCUUGAGUAAAAGUCAUUGCAUGCAACUGCUGUGCAUUACAUACAUAUAUGCACCACGAUUCACUAGUCUAAUUCCAUAUAUCUCAUGUUUUCAAUUAAACCUUCAAAUUUCUAAAUUAAAAAAGUGCUGCAACCACAAUGAACAAUAGUAAGUGAAAUAUGAGAUGAGUCGAGGGUUCAAAGAUGUGCAGUGCAGGGUUUAUAUAUGUGCAGUGCAGCAUUUGAAAACCAAGAAUACAAUGAAACAACUUCAAAGAUGUGCAGUGCAGGGUUUACCCAAAAAUAAUCUCUCUGAAUGUCUCGUGCAAAAGCUAACAUCCAUCAUAAUGAAAUAAGUCUAAGAAAAGUGUAAACAGUCAUGCUUGAAACCAUGAAGGUAAUAUAACAAAAGAAUAAGAAAAAAAACACAUUCCCCUGCAGCAGACACCACCUAUGAUCUUUGUUUAAUCAGUAUGUGGGUUAACAUUCAUAGUGAGCAUAAGAGUAAAAAAAACUUGAACUGGUAAAGAGAACAACAUAAUGCAGCAGGAAACUGGUAAUGUUUUGGAGCUGUGCAGUGUCACAAGAUCAUGAGCACACAAUCAGGCAAAAAAAGAUGACAGGUGUACUGCUCAGGAGAGAUAAAAAGUUCAUUUACUACGAAAAAAGUACAAGAGAAAUCACCAUGGGAGGAAGAUUGAAGAGAAGUACACUUCAAUUAUUCAACAACAAGAAGGUUCUCAGAUGCACCAAAGUGUUGAGCUUGUUUAGUUUGUUCAAAGCUGAAUGGACACAGGUCCGACGAGAAUGGCAGAGCACUAGAAAACAAAUGAGAUAGGAGUAGCACUUCAACUAGAUGGAUUACAUCGCAAACAGGAAUAGCUAUUACCAAUGCCUGAGUUACCAAAACAAAAUCUAGCUACCAAACAUUCAGUUUGAGGGCCACAAAUGCAUUUAAUAACUUAACUGAAGUAGAAACUAAAUAGCCAACCAAAAUUACCGCAUUAAACAUAUAAAUGUAAUCUAGGCAUGCACUUCUUGCACAAGAGCAAACAACUGACUUGCAUAUCAAAAGAUAAUUGUCAACGCACCUGGAGUUUUACUUUGAAGCGCAAAAAUAUAAAAAGUAAAAGAUAACAUGAGAUAGAAUAUAUAGUUACCUUCAAUUAAGAAAUUCCACUAAUGAUUUUGAGUGGAAGGAGGGAAUGAUGUGGUCGGUGCUCCAUAUAAUUGAACAAUUAUCUUUAAUUGUUCAUUAAAUUCAGCUUUAAAGUGGGCCUUAAUCUCCUCAAUUUCUUUUUUAAACCUCUCCUCUCUCUCAUCUUUUUCUCUUUGUAGGCUUGCUUCUCGCUCUUCAUUCUCCUCUCUUGAUUGCUUCAGCUCAUUCUUCAAUUCUUCUAUUUGUCACUCAAUAGCCUCUUUUGAUGCUUUAGCUUCCAAAUUCUUACUACUUGGUGGCUUAGGUCCACAUCCUAAACCACGAAAAUAUCCCGAGCGUGCACCAAAAGCCUUUGUUAAAUGUUCUUCCGUUGAUAAUGGAGGAUCACCUAACUCUUCUUGUGAUUUUCUUACAUGCUCAAAUUGUUUCUGCAUUCAAUGAGAUACAAAAGUAAUAUGAAACAUAUUUGUAUUUAGAGAAAAAUGCUCGUCUUCACAAGUCUAAUACAUGUAUAAUUAAAACUGAAUUUCUAUUUAAGAUUUCACAAGUCUAAUACAUGUAUAUAUAGAAAAUGUAGUAAAGUUGUGCUACAAAAAAAUGUUGCUAUACCAUAGCAUUUUGAGCCUUCUCAGAACACCAAGAAUUAUCAGUUCUUCGCUGGUGUGUAGCCUUCCAAUAUUCAGUUAAAUCAGGAUCAACCUCCGUUUCUGGAUCCCUCUAUCAAUUUAAAAUUAAAACCUUGAUGUCAUAAAAUUAAUAUAAUAUAAAAAGAUAUCCAUAAAUUGAAUUAAUUGACAAAAUCACCAUAUCAUAUAGGACAGUAGCAAAUGAUUUUCUUCCACAGAUUGAGAUGAUUGUUUUGCUCGAUUUGCUUUAUUAUGCGCCGACAUUCUCUACAAAAAAUUAUGUAGGGUCAUAUUUGCAUGAAAAAAUAACUCUUGCAAGCUAAUAACAUGUAUAAUAAAUUAAUAACCUUAAAUGGUACAGAACCAAAGUAUUCAACUAAAGAUGCCCAAUCUGAUUCUAUAAUAUCAUCUGGACAAUUUUGAAGCCUUUCUUCAUCUGUCAGAAAUUGAUUAUAAUGUAGAUGCUUGCGAUGUCUCCAAUCUCUAUACAUAUGAUUGAAAUUAUACAUCACUUCAUCUCUAAAACCAGCAAGCCCAUCAUAUUUUUCCUAAGAAACAGUAAAUAUAUACAACUAAUCAAAGCAUUCAUAUAAUAUGAUUAAACGAGCCAACAAAAAGUAUAUUUAAUGGUUAAAAAAAUUUAAAAUGAAUAUCAUACCAUUAAAUCAUCCCACAUCUUAUCCUUAUAAGGCAUAGGUCCUUCAGCCCAUUUGUAAACAUUAAGUGGUGCAUAUUGUCGCCAUACGACUCCCAUUUCUGUAAUAAAUUCUGCCAGCUGAAGACCGCCCACAGCUCGACCCAAGCGUUUUGAAAAUUCCACUUUGCCUUUCUUUUCCUCUUUUCUCUUUUUCGUAUUUGGAUUUGUAGUAGGUCCCCUUCCUUUCUUCUUGGCUGCAACAUAAUGUAGAGCAAGUUGAAUAGAAGAUAAUAGAAGAUAUUGACAUCUUCUGCAUCACUUUCACUACUUGAUUCAUCUGACAAUUCACCAUGAUGAUGCCAUUUAGUAUAACUUUGAAUAAUCCCAUUACAAAAUAAAUCAUACUUCACUUCCGUUCGGCUUUUGAGUCUAACAUUAUAACAUUUAGCACAUGGACAACGAAUUCUUUUCACAUUUCCCAAUCUUUUAAAUGCAAAAUCUAAGAAUAUGUCUAUGCCCUUUUCAUACUCAUUACAUGCUCGGUUCCUAAGACUCAUCCAGCUUUUAUCAAUUCCCAUCCUCCUACAUUGAAAUGAUUAAACAUAAUAUAAGAUAAUAUGGUCAAACUAAAAUUAUUAAAAUUGAACUAUCCAUUUCAAAAUGCACUAUAGUUCAUAUAAACUACUUUUCUACUUGAUUCAUAGCAAAUAGACUUUAGAAUAUAGGGCUAUGCAAAAAACCUAUAGAAUACCAAAUAUAGAUGAUGUAAUCAAAUACUAAAGUAUUGACAAAUUACUAAUUCUUAUUAAUCGAAAGGUUGGUAAUAAAACAUUGGACAUACAGGAUGCUUGUUCUUCAUUUAGCUUUUUGACAAACUACUAGUACAUGUUAAUUCCAUAUAAAUAAAUGUGUAUCUUUUGAUUGAAGUAAGCUAUGACAUUUCACAGUUCUUGACUCUGUGCAAUGAACUUCUUUUUGAAAUUAUCACGAGAUCAUAGUGUAAGUUGCUUUGCUUCAUAGACAUUUCUAAAAAUCAAAUAAAGUACAUAAGAAAUGUCUUUUGAGAUUUUUCAAUUUUGUUUUAUAUUCAACUAUUUUUUAUUGAAGUUUAGUUGUAUUUUUUAAUACAAGAUCUCAUGACUAAUUUUUUAUACAUCAUUGAGUCUAAAAAAGAAAUCGGCAAGUCACAAUCAUAGAGUACACCAAAUUUGAGAAAAAAUUACUAAGUACAGCUAUGAAGUAGUUUCACAUGCAAAUAGACUUACAAAGCAAAAAGAAAUUUGAGUAAUAAUAUUUACUUAACAUUGACAUAUGAUUUUAAAAUGGGAGUGAGCAUUGACCUCGAUAAACUCUCAGCAACUAAAACACUAAAUACUUCGAUUCCCCAGAAGAAAUUUACCCCUUGAUGCAGGCCUUGAGAAGCGAUUAGCAUCAAUUUGGAUCCAUUAGUGAGUUGCUGCACGCUUAGACUCGAAUUGUCGGCGAGAACUUUUCCUGCGGUGGAGAUUAGGGUUUAUCUUAACAAUGAAGAUAAAAAAAUAAAGAAAAGUUUAACAAAUUAAGUAUGUGAUAAUGUUUUGCUAUGAUCUCUAGUGUACAAAUAAUAAUAAUAAUAAUAAUCACUUAGGUGUGGAAAUUAAAUAAACUAGUGGCUCAGCCAAGACUCAUCUCACACUUCCGGCUGGUGAACUGGCUCUGCCUCUGAUACCAAAUGUAACGACCCGACCCGUUAACAAUAAUAACUCGUUGGGCUCAAACCACCGGUCCAAAAUGCUUAAGUCCAAUUAUUAUUACUAAGAUGGAGUUCUCUUAUAAACCCAAUGACAAUCCUAUUUCCAUCCGACGUGGGACUAUUAGGAUGUCACAGGAUUUGACCAUUUCAUUCGUGGCAUGAAAAUUGGAAUCCAAUUCCUAUAAAACAAAUAAACAACUAUCGAAAUUAAUGAAUCUAAUUCCGAUUCCAUGGUCUAAAAUAGGUAAACCAAACAAGCCCUCAGAAUUUUGAAAGAGAAUUUUUGUUAAGAGAGAGGUGUGAUGAAUGGAGAGGACAGGGAGAUGUUUGUGAGAGAGAGCUUUGAGUUGUUUAUUUUGGAAUGGGUUAAUCCCAGAUUAAAAAACAAACUGGGUCGCAAGGGUAUGUUUGGUUUAAAAUACUUAAAUGAGAAUGAGAAUAAGUCAUUCUAAUUGUUAGUGUUUGGAUUGAGAGAUUGACAUUGUAACACACUGGAUUUUUGAAAAUUGCGAGGUUUGAGUGUUUGAUCUGUGUUCUGAGUUUUUUUAGGUAUUCUGGAGGGUCGUUGACUGUGUUCUGACCCAUGA